AUAGUAAAACGAUUAGGUUAAUUUCGGGAAAAGUAGGUCGUACGGUCGAUCAGACUGACCGCCCUUCUUGGUAUCGCAGUGGCGAUUAAUCCAUGUUUCAUGUAGCUCGUACGGUCAAAAUGGUCGAGCUUCGUGGAUACGUUGGGCCUGGUGAGGUUAUUGGGCUUUACCAGGCUUAAUGGGCCGAUCUUGACUUGGGCUAAUUCUUGAAGAGGGCUGUGCGCAGACCACCUCCAACAAUUGCCCCCCUAGUUCGUCGAGAGAGAUUUGUAUUGAUAGCUCGGUGACUUGACGUUGUGACUCCUUAUUGCGAGUUCUAAUCCAGUCUUGGGCAAUAUCUUUGGCGAGGCGACACUUAGAUAUUGCGGUGAUGGAGCUGUACAGUAUAUAUCAAGGAGGGGUGGUGUGCAUUGAUGACGGCUUUGAAGUUGAAAAGGCGCACGUGAAUGGCGGUUUCAGAAUCGAAAAGACGCGCAUGAGAGGCGGCUUGGAAGUCGAAAAGGCGUGCGCUGAGAUACGAAACAUUGGAUGGCUCGUGAACUCCAAAUAUCUUUGAAUUCGAUUGGAUUGCGGGUCAUGAUUAUAUUCCUCGGUAACCGGUAUUUUUCUUCUAUAUAAUUUGAGAAUCCCAACUUCUCUUCAUUCUCUUCUCUCGCUCAUAAAAGGUAACUUCUCUUUCUCCCUUCCCGCACUCUCUCUAGUUUCUCUCUCUAGAAUUUACUCUUCCUCCGUCAUUUUGGUUCUAUUCUCGUGGCUUGAUUUCUCCAAUCAUAACUUCUUCGGCCAUCUCCAUAAACAUCACCCAAUGGUCAUGGGAGAGGAACACAUUGAGUCGAGUUUGGAAUCUGGAUCUCGAUCUGAGGAGAUUGCUGAGGAGAGUGGAGAUUCAUCUCCCUAAGUAUCAUCAAGGUCUGAGAGUCCGUUGGAUAGAGGGACAUCACCACUAGAUGAGUUUUCAAAGCGGAUUUGUCCGGAUGGGGCCACUUCUAACUCGACAAGAGUUGAGAUCGUGACUCCUUGAUCGAGCCACAUCAAAGCAAAUUCUUGCGAUGUUGAUGCUGAGGUGCCCGAUAUAGACGACGUCGAAGAGAAAAAUUAAAAUGAAGAAGAGGAAGACGAAAAUGAAGAAGUCAAACCUCGCAGGAAGGGUUCCAAAUGUAAGGGACCAAUAGAGAAUCAUCUUAAGAAGAUCCUGUCGUGGAUGACGGUUGAGCGUCUGAACGAUAUGCAGAACAGGUUCCACCUUUCAUUAGGUUUUGUUCUUAAUUCACCAGGCCCAGCAGAUCCACCAUGGCGAGCUCUGGAAUUUCCCAGUUGUGUUUAAAGAUCAAGGGGAUCUCUGAAAUUUCCGGGUGGAUGGCCGCUGUGGAGGAGUGGCAAACUGAAAAGAAGAGGGAGUUGACCAAUCAGAUUGAGUUGUUGAGAAUAGAAAACCAGGAUUUGAUCAACAAUCUCCAGAUCGCCAACGAGAAGAAGAUUCAGCUCGAGAAAACGAUGGCUUCGGAGGUCCUCCGAGCGCAGAGGAACACCGCCAAGAGGAUUGAGGCCGAGAGCAUAAGGAUUUUUUCGGAUGCUGAAGCCAGGUUCUCUGCUCGCAUGGGUCGGCUGAGAGCUUACAAUGUUGAUCGCGAGGCAGCCGAAACCGUGAAUCUCGAUCUUGUUCAGGCUAGAGGAACCCUCGAGUGUCUCGAUCUUUUGAAGCAGCCUUCAAAAAUUACCAAGGGAGAGAUAAGGUCUGAGUAUGCGAAAACAAAACUUGAUUGUGAGCAGAACCUUGCAAGUCUCAGUAUUUCUGACCUGCAGAAGCGUGAUCUUGAACUGCCGUUUCCUGCUACUUCAGGAGGCGGUUCAGAUCAUUACAAGCCUGAAGAUCCUGAAGACCCCGAAGCUCGAGAUCGAUUCGUUGAGUAAAGUGUUUUCCUUUGUUGUUGCACUUCUCCUUAUUCGUCGCAUUUUCCUGAUUUUCUUUGUUUUUUUUUAUUCGAUGUAAUGCGAUAUUCGAACUUAAUGAAAUGUCUAUUUUUUUUACAAGUGGUUGUUUGACUAUUUUUGUUAUUGAGACUAAUCAAAUUAUAGGUGCGAGACAAGAGUUCGGCAACUCUUUUUUUCCUAAUGAGUGUGGGCUCGGUUUAGUAUGCUAGCAGGUGCGAGUAGUAGCUCGGCUGACCUGUUAGCUUUAGCGUAUUUAUUCGGGCGAUCUAAGAGAGUGCAGGAUUGGACCCGACUUAAUCUCUAUAAUCGUUAAGGUUUUUGUUCCUUAGGAUUAUAGAGAGUUUGCAUUAUGAUGAAUGAGUUUUUGUAGAUCGCCGAGAUGUCGAGUAAAGAGUUCAGAAAAGUAAUAACAAAUUUUUAUUAAUAGCUGCACUUGAUAAUUCGGGAUCAAGCUAAUCGUAGUUUUCAUUUAAUACAGAGUAGAAUCUAGCUCGGUGAGCAACCUUUUUUUUUGGCAAUCUUGUGGUCAAAUCGAUCUAGUAGUAGUAUCUCUUUAUGUUAAUCGAAUUCCAUGACCGUGGGAUCAUCUCUCCUUGCAUUGUCAUUAGCUCGUAUACUUCUGGUUUGAAGAAUUUUGUGAUUUGGUAUGGGCCAUCCCAGUUUGCUCCAAGCUUCCCCGCUUGUUGUUCAGCGGUGUUUUCGAGUACCUUGCAAAGUACGAGGUGGCCUGCCUUGAAAUGUCUUCCUUUGACCUUCUUGUUGUAAUAUCGGGCCGCUUUUUGUUGGUAAUUUUGUAUUCGAAUUAGAGCUUGGGCUCGUUCUUCUUCUAACAUGGUGUUGGUUUUGGCGUCUUGUGUUAGCAUUAUUUGGCGCAGGCUUGGUAGGCCAACCUCGGAUGGAGCUAGAGCUUCCAUUCCAUGUGACAAUGAGAAUGAGGUUUUAUUUGUUGAUCGUCGAGGUGUGGUUCUAUGCGACCACAGUACUCCAUCGAGUUCGUCGGCCCAUAGACCUUUCUCUUCUUUAAGUCUCUUUUUGAUCCCGCCGAGUAUGAUUUUGUUGGUCGCCUCAGCUUUCCUGUUACUUGUGGGUAUCUCGAGGUCGAUUUACUGAGUCUGAUCUUCCACUUGGCACAGAAAUUCUCAACUGUGCUAGAAAUGAAUGUGGGGCCGUUAUCCGUCACGCUCUAAUAAGGGAGGCCGUGUCGACAUAUUAUGUGUUUCUAGAGAAAAUUCUUGACGUCUUCUGCGUGGAUUUUAGCAUAGGAUUCGGCCUUGAUCCACUUCGUGAAAUAGGUGAUGAUGAUAAUAGUACAUUUCUGGCGGGUGCGAGGUAAUGGACCGACGAUAUCCAUCACCAUCGCAUGAAUGGGUGGGGUGGUGAUGAAGCCAUGAGGAGUUCGAUUGGGUCGUGGAUCAAAAGGGUGUGUCGCUGGCAUUUUUUGCAGCGAGCAACGAAUCUAUCGCAGUCUAUCAAUAUAGUCGGCCUGAAGUGUCUGUGAUUUUUUUAUUUAAAGGGUUAAUGCCCAACCAGUCGAAUGAUUUUCACACCCACCUUCGUGUGUUUCUUGCAUAACGUCAACAGUUUCUUCCCCGUGCAGACAGCUAAGCAGCGCGCCCUUGGCGCUCAAUCAGUAUAGGUUUUUGUGCGACUGAACAUACUUUGUGCUGCGGGCUUUUAGGCGUCUGGUUGCCCAUCAGUCAAGAGGUACAUCGCCAUCUAUGAUGUACAUUAAAAUUUUGACCCUCCAUUCAUUGUUCGAGGGUUCUUGCACAGCCUACUCAUCUAUGUUUGAGUAGUUUCUCAGUUGGGUUUAAACGGAUUUCUCAAAGGGAAUUUCAUGUGUCUUCUUAUAUGAAUUGCUAGAUUUAGUAUUAAUAAUCUUCUAGGUGUUCUUCGUCUACCUUUAUUCUUAUUGCGCGAUUCUCUGCUGGCCACUUAGAAUUCGAUCUAGAUAUGAUAUGUUCUAAAAGUUUUCAUUGAUUGUCUAAUCUAGGGUGAAACGAGAAAUUCUACUAUAGAAGUGGAAACUUACGUAUAAAUGAGUUGUGAAUAUUGAUGAGUCUUGUUCAAACUAUUGAAUCUUCUUCCUUUCAGGACCAGAGUGGAAACCUACUUCUUAGGGUUGCGAGAGAUAGUUGUUUAGUGAUGCAAAAGUAGGCUAUUCAUACUUCCAUGCCUCAAGUUCUAGAAUAUACAUAGUCGAUUACCUUUAUCAUUUAUUUAUGUCAUAGGUUUAGUCCAAUGAAUCCCUGCGAUACCCUUGAGCCCAUCGUUUGUUUUCCAUUGUUUAUAGCCUUCGAUUUUCAUUCGGUUUUUACCCGCUUCACUUGCUUUCAUUUUCAGUUACUUUUUACUUGCUUUCUAGUUUAGAUUUAGUGACACCCGAAAACAAAAACCCAAAUUGUUUAGUUCAAGCCUGAUUUAAGCAUUAGCGUGAAUUCGUACUGAAACAACUAAGUCUUUGUGGAUCGAUACCCUAAGUACUAUAGCGCACAUCUGCGCACUUGCAGACAUUUAGUGGUUAUAAAUUUUAAACCUGAAAAUUAGUAAAACCAACACCUCGUUUACAAUCGCAUCAAGUUUUUGGCGGCGUUGCCGGGGACUUUGAUGCGAAUCUCAGCUUAAAUCCAUUAGAACACUUGUUUACUUUUACUUUUUCUUUUGAACUUUCCAGGUUACUCGACAAUGGGAGACCGGAACAUAUUCACAGAACUCUCGGUGAUCCGCCAUAUCAUGUGGAUGAUAACCCAAGCGACGGACCUGAGUGAUGAAGAGCUUGACAAUCUGAUCAAUGAUGAUGAGAAGCUAAUUGGAUCAACAAGAUGAUGAUGAUGAACUAAUAGGAAGUUUUGAUUCACUCAAAAAGUUUUUGGGAGAUCGAAGAGCUAUUCAACCUUCCUUACCAGAGGAUGGUAAAACUGAAAUAAAGGUACCAUAUAUCAACUUAGUUCAACAAAAUUAAUUCUAUGGUUAUUCAUCCGAACACCCGAUGGACCAUAUCGAGUCGUUCGAAGAAUUAUGUGCAACCAUUACAUCAAAUGGGGAUUACCACAAGUGUAUUCUUUUCUCAUUUUCUUUGAGAGACAACGCCAGCAAUUGGCUAAAAUUUUUGCAACCUGCAUCAAUAAAAACGUGGAAAGACUGUAGAGCGGCUUUCCUAAAUCGUUUUUACACUAGAACUCGUUCCAAUCUCUUAAGGAACAAGAUACAAACUUUCGAACAAAAGAAAGACGAAGAUCUUUACGAUGCUUGGGGAAGAUUUAGAGAAUACCAAAGAGAUUGUCCACACCAUGGAUUUUCCGACGAAUACCUGAUGGGUAUCUUCUAUCAAAGCGUAACUAAAGAAUUGCAACAUUCUUUUGACACAGCAAGCAAUGGAGACUUCUCCACCAGAUCCACAGAAGAUGCUAGUGUUUUCAUAACAACCUGGCAGGAAGUAUCCGUAACAAGCAAUCUUUGGCAAGUCUGCACUUCAUGAGAAGAAAGAAGAGAUUUCAGAAGUUAUGAAGUGUCUCCAUCAAAUAAUGAGUCAACUUGGAUUGCAACAACCAAACAAAGUACACAAUACGUGUAACUUUGAUGGUUGGAACAACCCAAUGGAUUCUUAUAAGCAAGAGAUGAUGAACACUGAAGAAAUCUAUCAAAUUCAAGAUUUUCUUUCGUGCUUGAUCACCACAGGUCCAUUCUUUCGGACCCCGGCCAAACCAGCUUUCACCACGGUCGUGCCUUCCCUGACCGCGAUCAAGACCCAUUCCACCACGGUCGCGAGUCAUACGACCGCGGGAAAUUCUCUUCCGAACAAAUAUGGGCUGUCCAAUCUGAUUCAAUCCCCUAUUCAAGUUUUCCCUCUUCUGAAGCUAAAAACCUAAACAACAGAUUCUAGAGCUUGAAAAAUCUAAGUCUAGGGAGAUCAGUGAUCUUAGUUCUGAAAUAAAAAGGAUGCAAGAAGAUUUCAAUGACAAAUUUUCCACCCUAAGAACACAGAUAAUCCCGAGGAGGAGCCAAGUGAAAGUUCUUUCAAAAGCUCAAGCGAGGCCGACCCCUCUGAUCAUGUGAAAGCCAUCACACUUAGGAGCGGUCUAGCUUACAAAGAGCCUGAAUUUCCUAAAGAUCCCGUAGAUGAGAAAAAAGGAAAGGAAAAGGAAAAAGAAAGAGACAGAGUCACGAUUGAAGACGUUGAAAAAGACGUGGUCAGAGAAAAGGAUGGAGAAGAAGUAAGAGAAGUUACAUCCCGGGAAAUUCUCUUAGAAGACCCGAUCCCCCCUCCAUCAGCUCGUGUAUACAAACCUAAACCGCCAUAUCCUAAAGCAUUAAGAGCCCCGAAGAAGGAGAAAGAAAAAGCUAAGCUGAAAAGCUAAUCGAUCAAUUAAAUGUGAGAUUACCUUUCGUAUAAGCUUGUGCUAUGAUUCCCGCUUUAAGAAAAUACAUGAAGGGUAUUCUAACAAUUUUUUUAACUCUUGAAGAAGGUGUUAUAAUGAGAACCCAUGAAUGUAGUUCUAUCCAGCAAAGCCGGAUCCCUCAAAAGAAAGACGAUCCUGAGAGCUUCAUACUUUUCUGCACUAUCAAUAAUAUGGCUUUUAAGCGUGCUCUUUGUGAUUUGGGAUCAAGCCUAGACAUGAUGCCUCUCUCAUUUUCAAAAAACGUUUAGGACAUCACAAUUUCCAGCCCACUAUUUCUUUAGUAUUAGCUGAUCGUUCCGUUAGACAACCCGUAGGUAUCUUAAUAGAUGUUCCCAUCAAAAUUGAAAAAUGUUGCAUACCCACCGAUUUUGUAGUGCUAGAAUUAGAAAGAGAACGUAGAGAUCCUCUUAUUCUCGGACGACCAUUCUUAUGUACAGCGGGAGCGAUAAUCAAUGUUCCUAAAGGAAAAAUCGAUCUUCACUUAGGUGAUCUGGUUAUGCAAUUUGACAUGAACAAAAAUCUCGAUAAACCAACUCUGGAUAAAAAAAAAUUGUUGGAUUGAUGAGCUUGACGGAAUUAUUGAGGAAGUCUAUGAAGAUCUACUUCUCGAAGACCCUUUAAGUGUCACGGUUUCAACCACAAAAGACGAAAGCAAUUUCCUUGAAGAAAUCUCAAGUGAAUGCGCGCGGAUGCUUGAUAAGUCUGAAACUUAUAAGAAGCCUCUAAACCAUCUAGAUCUUAAAGACCAAACAAACAUUCCUACACUUCCUAUAGGCACAGCCACAACAAUAAAUGAUCCGUGGAGCAAGCUGAAAGCCCCGAAGGUUGAGCUUAAAUCUCUUCCAGUCGGACUAAAGUACACUUUCUUUGGACCAAAUUCGACUUAUCCUGUCAUUAUAAACUCCGGUUUGACAGAAGAAGAAACCAAAAUGCUAUUUUCUGAACUGAGAAAGCAUAAAAAGCCUUAGGAUAUUCACUUGAUGACAUAUCUGGAAUCUCUGCAGAUCUUUUUAUGCACAAGAUCAAUCUCGAGGAUAAUGCUGAAAACUCAAUCGAAAGUCAAAGGAGACUAAACCCUAAUCUCAUGAAUGUCGUCAAGAAAGAGAUUAUGAAGCUUUUAGAAGCCGGAAUAAUAUUUCAUAUCUCAGAUAGCACUUGGGUUAGCCAUUUCAUGUUGUCCCGAAGAAAGGAGGAGUCACUGUCGUUAAAAAUGAUAAAGAUGAAUUGAUCGCUACAAGAACACUCACUAGACAUCGUAUGUGCAUCGAUUACUGGAAACUGAAUACAGCAACUAGGAAAUAUCAUUUUCCACUUCCCUUCAUAGAUCAAAUGCUAGAAAGGUUAGCUAAUCACCCCUAUUAUUGCUAAUUGAUGUAUACUCCGGACUUUUCCAAAUUACCAUUCGACCGGAGGAUCAAGAAAAAACGUAAUUUACUUGUACAUAUGGCACGUUCGCUUAUCGACGAAAUGCCUUUUGGAUUGUGUAAUGCACCUGCUACCUUCCAGCGAUGCAUGAUGUCGAUCUUCACGGACUUUAUCGAAGACAUUAUGGAGUUUUCAUGGAUGAUUUCUCAAUCUAUGGAUCUUCUUUCAAAAAAUGCCUGGCCAACCUUGGUAAAUUUUUGCAAAGAUGUGAAGAUAGGCACUAAGUAUUAAAUUGGGGAAAAUGUCACUUCAUGGUGCGAGACGGAAUCGUGCUUGGGCACAGGAUUUCGGGAAAAAGAAUUGAAGUUGACAAAGCAAAAAUCAGUCAUGACAAGCCUACAACCCCCCCCCCCCACAUAUGUAAAAGGCAUACGUAGUUUCUUAGGACUUCAGGAUUCUAUAGGUGCGUCAUAAAGGAUUUUUCACAAAUAUCUAGACCUCUUACGCAUUUGCUUUGCAAAGAAACGAACUUCCAGUUCGAUGACGAGUGUUUAGCCGCAUUUCAUAAAAUAAAAGAAGCCCUUGUCUCUGCUCCAGUCGUGAAAGCACCUGAUUUGGAACUCCUAUUCGAAAUCAUGUGUGAUGCAAGUGACUAUUUAGUCGGAGCAGUUCUUGGCCAACGAAAAGAUAAGAAACUGCAUGUAAUCUAUUACGCAAGCAGAACUCUAGAUGAAGCUUAAUGCAAUUAUGCAACAACAGAGAAAGAACUUCUAUCUGUCGUAUGUGCAUUUGAGAAAUUCCGUUUUUAUCUAGUAGGAUCUAAGGUUAUAAUUCAUAUUGAUCAUGUGGAAAUUAAGUAUUUAAUGUCUAUGAAAGACAAUAAACCGAGAUUGAUAAGAUGGAUCUUCCUACGGCAAGAAUUCGACAUCGAAAUUUGAGAUCGGAAAGGAGCAGAAAUGGAGUUGCAGACUGAUAUGUUCAUAAUUUGCAUCAUUUAGGUUGCAUGUUUCAUUCCAAAUCAUGUUUUAUUUCAUGCAUUUUAGGUCCUUAGGGUUUGUUUUAGGAUUUAGGAGUUGCAUUAUCUUUGCAUGUUUUGAGUGUUUAUCAGGUGUAUUUGGAGUUAUUUGGAGUCGGAGAGAUGGAUCCAGGAAGAGAAAUGGCAACCAGGACUUGAAAGAUGCUGAAAAUGGGUUUUUGGAGGUUCUUGGCUAUUCUCGCGUACCGCAGGAAGGUUUUCUCGGCCAUUCUCACAUACCGCGGGUGGAUUCAUCGGCCAAAACGCGUACCGGCUAAUGAAUUUCUCGGCCAAAAUCUCCGGGUGCAGACACGUUUUCAAAAUCGCCUAACCGGGGAACCUUCCGGUCCGAUUCAGCUGUCGGGUGCUUCCUCAAAGUUGGAGAAGAUUGGAUCACGGUUCCAGAGCAAGUGGAAUCAUAGACUUCGGACACGUGAGCAGAGAGUUAAGCUCGUUGGAAGGAACUCCUGUCUCGCUUCCGUUUUGGACCGACCCGAUGAGGUCCGAAGAAUGCGAAGGACGGUAUUCUUCCAGACCGAUUCAGUUUACGGGGUCUUCAUCAGAAUCCGAUAUCUUUGAGUCCUAUUUCCAGAACGUUUGAGAUCAUGUAAUUCGGAGCUAUGAGCAAGAAGAUAACGUUUCCGGAAUGGACACAUGUCUAGACGCCACUCUCUGAUCGUGUAAAUGCACUGCGAAGAUGAGCCCUCCAGGAAACCUUCCACUUCCCAAGCACCGAAGCUUCCUUCACCAAAGUUGAAGAUAUAUGAGUCUUCUGUCCUCUGAAACCGGAAGCACACAAUUCGGACAAAUAUCUUAGAAGUUACGCCUCCCUGAACGCAAAGUGGUCCUAGGAGCCCUGAACGCUGUAAGAUUGAUAAAAUUAUGCUAAGGGAAAGAUGGCACGAUGGAAUGCCACGGUCCACACCUGACCGUGGCACUUAAUUGCAGUCCUUCGGCGUUUGACACGAUCUUCAUGCCACGGUCUACACUUGACCGUGGCAAAGUAACAUUUGGCCGCGAAAAGAUUUUACUCACAUUCGACAUUUGACAAGGUCUCCAUGCCACGGCUUAGGACUUGGCCGUGGCAACUUUGUACACUUCUUUGGUGUUUGACAUGGUCUCCAUGCCACGGCUUAGGACUUGGCCGUGGCAACUUUGUACAAUUCUUCGGCGUUUGACACGGUCUCCAUGCCACGGCUUAGGACCUGGCCGUGGCAACUUUGUACACUUCUUCGGCGUUUGACACGGUCUCCAUGCCACGGCUUAGGACUUGGCCGUGGCAACCUUGCGCAUGCUUUCGGCGUUUGACACGGCCAUGCAUCACGGCUUCACAUCUGACCGUGGCAACUUUGUGCGUUCUUUCGGCGAUUGACACGAUCACUUGCCACGGCUUGACCCAAACUUGCUAGACCGUGGCAUCAUGAUUCAUCCAAGAACGCGAGAUACAAGAUUUGACACGGUCACUUGCCACGGCCUGACCAAGAACCUGCUAGACCGUGGCAAACUCAUUCUUUACCCACCAAGACCGGGUCAGUACCCGGUUUGUUCCGGGUUGACCCGGUUCGUCCAAGGCUUCUAUAAAUACUUUUUAGACCUAAUUUGGAGAGAACUUUUAUCCUAUUUUUAGUCUCCUUUUCCCUUUUUGUGAAAGACCACUUGUUAAUAGCUUGCUUUUGAGUUUAAUAUCAAUUUGAAGAGUGUUUACCCCUUAAUCUAUCAUCUCCAUCCCUAUUUAUCAUCAUUAAUCAUGCCAAUCUUCUCAACUUGCAAAGGUUUAAGAGAGAUUAGUAUGAUUAGUGAGUAGUCACCUUAAUGAGGUUCUAGAUGUGUAGGUUAGGGUGCUAAAGUGUUAGAUUAGGAGUACUUAGGGCUAGAUUCAUUGAUUCAUCUCUCUAAACAGCUGUUCUCUAUGAUAGAUCCUUGCAUAUCACUUGAGAUCUAGAUUCUGGGAAUUUCAUGCACCAAAAAUGUUUGAUGAAAUUCCUGAAAUAGCUGUAUUAGAGGUUUAAGCAUUUGCUGCAUGAUGAUGUAUUGUUAUUUGCAUGAAUGAUCAUUUAGAACUGUUUAUUAAUGCAUACUGAUUCAUAUUUCACAAAUGAUUAUUUGGUUUGAAAAUGGAUUAGUAUAGGGGUUAAUACCUUCAUGAGAGGAUUAACUUAGAUUAGAGUUUUUAAUCAUUUGAAUCAGGUCUCAACAUUGUCAUUAGCAUUCCUAGUUUAGCACCAAAGCACCCUAACCAACUAUCAUGUCUGGAAUCUCAUGCCUCCAUCAUAUCAUAAUCAUAUCACUUGUCAUUGUUUAGUUCUUCUUUAGUCUUUAAUCCUGUUUUUAAGUUUGUGGUUGUCAUUAGUUAAUCAAAACCACUCUUGUUUGCUUGAAUUAAGAAUCUGAUCACAUAUUUUAGUGUCUAACACCACAUAUGGAUUGAUAAACCCCUUGUACUACAAGACAGGGGAUUGAUAACCUCUACAAAGAGCCUUGAAAACUCUUAGUUAUCACAGACCAUCUUUCACGAAUUCGAGUUGAAGAAAUAUUGCCUUUAAAUGAUAGUUUGCCAGAAGAAAACAUUUAUGCAAUAGAUGCAGUUCCCGCCAAUGCCGCACCACCAAGGCAACUCAUGCGACGAUAAGAUGCUUUCAACACCCCAUUGUUUAGGCACAUAGUGAAUUACCUAGCAGCUGAUGUAGAACCACCACAACUUUUCGGAUAUAGGAAGAAGAAGUUUUUGCGAGACGGAAAACAAUGUUUUUGGGACGAACCCCAUCUUUAUAAGAGAUGUGUUGAUAGUUUAUUCCAAAAAUGUGUGGCUGAAGAAGAGAUGGAAGGAAUUUAUUCGGAUGCCAUGGCUCGUCUUACGUAGGACAUUUUGCAAAAGGAAUGAGAUGCCUCAAAAUUUUAUUCUCGAAGUCGAAUUUUUUGAUGUCUGGGGAAUAGAUUUUAUGGGACCAUUACCGACUUCUUACAGAAACCAAUACAUCUUAGUAGCAGUAGACUACGUCUCUAAGUGGGUUAAAGCAGUCGCUAGUCCCACCAAUGAUGCGAAAGUUGUUAUCAAGCUGUUUAAAUCUAUAAUCUUUCCGCGUUUUAGAGUUCCCAGAAUUAUGAUAAGCGACGGAGGAUCGCAUUUCAUCAACAAGGGUUUUGAAAAUCUUCUUAGAAAGAAUGGAGUUACGCAUAAAGUUUCUUCUCCAUACCUUCCCCAAACUAGCGGUCAAGUAGAAAUCUUCAAUAGGGAAAUCAAGUCAAUUUUGCAGAAAACAACUGCAAUACAUCACAAGGAUUGGUCUACAAAACUUUACGGCGCAUCAUGGGCAUAUCGACCAGCUUUCAAGACGCCAUUAGGAACAACACCAUUCAACCUAGUUUACGGAAAAGCAUGUCCCCUUCCAGUAGAACUCGAGUAUAAAGCGCAAUAGACAAUUAAGGAGAUGAACAUGAACUUGAAAGAGCUGGAGAAAGAAGACUACUUCAACUUCACGAGUUAGAAGAAAUCCGACACAAUGCUUCUAACGAUAAAGUUCUUCUUUUCAAUCCUCAUCUUAAGCUUAUCCCAGGAAAAUUACGUUCAAGAUGGUCCGGACCCUUCACGAUAAAGGAAGUCUAACCAUACGGAGCCAUUGUCUUAUAGGACAAAACUGGAAAUUCAUUUAUAGUAAAUGGCCAACGUGUAAAGCCAUAUCUGGCCGAAGAAAGAGAAGAUGAGAGAGAAGUGAUGCUUCUGAUCGAUCUAUCAUCAUCCAAGAAAGCGAUCAAGGAGUGUUAUGACCCCGGAAAGUCUAAUCGAGCAACAAUGUCAAGCUAACAACUUAAAAUAAAUACUUAGUGGGAGGCAACCCACUUGGUAUUUUACUUAUUUCCCUUUGACCUUCAUUUUCUAUUUUUAUUGCUCUGUUUUUGUUUCAUUUAAUUCCAGGCUUUUUCAAAGAAGAACAAACAAAAGACGAACACCCAUUUGCAACCACAAUAACAUUGUUCUACGAAUGAUAUUCUCCGGCAUGAUAAGUACACUUAGACAUUUCAAUUUUGAAUUUUCUUAACCAUUCUUUCCAAGAUUUAUCACACUGAGGACAGUGUGAAAUAAGUCUGAGGGAGGAUAUUCAUCCGUUACUAACGAAAUUUGAUUUGUUUUGAGUUUGUUUUGGACACAAAAUCUUUCAAUAAAACUUUUCAAAAAGUUUUUUUCAAACAAAGUUUUCAAACCAGGAACAUAAAUAAACAAUACUAUGAUGAUUUAGAUCAGUGUGCUUCUACGCUAUGUCCUUGUUUUUUUUUUUUUGCUCUUUUGUGAUUUAGGCCUAGACUAGGCGGUAGCUAGAAUACUUGCACUAUAAACUCCCACCAGAGGACUUCUAUUUAUUGAGAAUCUUUCUGACAGGAUAUACUAGCUCAUUUAUGACUUAAUUUUGACUUAAUUUUCUCGUUAAAGCAUUAGAUCAGAGAAACGAAUCAUACAUUCAGGACUCCUUUACCCUUUUACCACUCUUUGUUGAUCCUGAAUGGCUAGUUCACCUUUAGCUAGUUCUCUACCUUCACCCAUCCUCUUUUAAACCACAUGCAUUCUUGGUUUUCAUUUUCCUAUAUGCAGAUAUGUGCAAAAACGUCGAAGAGAAAGAGGAUCAACGCGGUUUUCAGUCACUGAAGACGGAGACCUGCGAUUUUACCGGAAUAAUUCAACAAAAGGAGAAAACUCAGUUUGCCCCUAGAAAAACUGGAAAAUGAAUAUACAUUCGUCCCUUAGACUCUCUCUCUUAAUAAAAGGUUGUUUCCAUUUUCAAAAAAAAAAAAUCCGAAAAAGAAAAGGAAAAUAAGAAAGGAAAGGAAAUAAAAAAAAAACCUUAGAGAGUCUAGGAGAAUCGAGUUUUAUACUUGAGACAAGCUUGAUUUUAAUUAUAUGGAGUUUUGGAGAUCAUCUUUCUGAUUCUUGGAAAAGAUCUAAGUCUGGGGGAACAGCUGUUUUUCAACAAAGGAGGAAGGAUUAUGCAACAACAUUUGGCAAAAAGAUGUGACUGAAAAUUGCAGACAUAACAGGUCCAUGCUCUCUUGCGGUUUUGUAUAAUAUCUUGCAUCCUCCAGAUUCUUCAGGUAACCCGAAACACUUAAACUCCACCACUUAAACAGCCCUUAAUGCCAAACGCCGUCUGAUAACAUCUCAUUUUGACCACUUUUCACCAUUGAUUUCAAAUGCUUUUUCAAAUGUUUUACUUUGUUUUAGGAAAUUUUAUUAUGAUUUCCAUGUAUUUAUAGUUUCAAGGCUCUUUUCAGGAAACUUAGGAAAUAUGAUGGCAAAAUGGAAGAAAUCCACAUUUUUAGCUCAGAGUCAAACCAUCAGAAGUUCAGCCUCAAAUGAAGUCUGUCUCACUGUCCGAUCCAGCUCAAAUUUGGAGACAAUCAAGAGGAGACAACCAGCUUUCCAUAUCACUUUAUAUCACAAAGAUCUAACGGUGCAAUCAAAAGAUACAUGGAGAACAAGUUGACCCAGUUCCAAGUCCCGGAAGACUCUCACCCGCGGGAAACACAUGUUUUACCUGCCUUGGAAGACUCUCACCCCUGGUGGACCUUAGGACGAGCCACAAGGCCCAAAAUCAAAGCCCACUUCGCCAUAUCUCUUCAGAGAAGCCCUAAAUGAGAGCUGGAAGAUUUUAGGACAUAUAAAUACAUUGUUUAGCAGUCCUAAACGGGUGUGUGCUCUUGUAAUGAGAUUUUGAGCCACCAAACUCUGUUUUUCUAGGGUUAGGCGAUGGAGAUGGGGAUUCUUCCCCAGAUCCAUUGUUCUUCCUCUUGUUUAUCUUAUUAACUUUUCUGUUUCAUUCUUCUAUGUCUUUUAUCAUUCAUUGCAUCAUGUAGAUUAGUCCCAGAGAGUCAAGUUGUUUGAAGAUAUCGACAAGCAUAUAUAUCGAUUAGGAUUUCUAUUGUUCUUAGCCAUAUUCUGGCUCUCAUCUCUUCUAAGUUGUUCGUAAAGCAUGAUAGUACAUUCAUGACCUAUUCUAUGAGCCUAGGAUCGAUCAGAGCCACAAGAGUGCUGUAUCAGAUCAUCCAUACCUAGCUUCAGAAGAACAUAGUCGCUAUAGGAGUCGAGAGCUACCUAUAGAGAAGAUGUCAGCAGACAAAUUCAAUGUCCAAUGCAUGAUCUUAAGUUUAGCAUGAGAGCGAGAGUUAAUUGCUGGAUCUAAGAGAUUUGUUGAUUAAGGUGACGACAGUUGGUUAAUCAUACAUAUGUCUAUUCUAGUUCAAUGCAGAUCCCCAGAAACAGAUGAAGAUAAAUCACCCGGAAGCUAAUUGGAAAUGCCAUCAUACAUCAGUUAGAGUAACCCGGAGAAGUCUAAAUCGCCACCUAUGAGUUUAAGAGUUUAGUUUGAGUCGAUAUGCUUUAGAUGUUCUUUUAACAAUUCAUCUUGCAUUGCAUUUCUUGUGAAUACUAGAUUAGGUUUAGUUUAGGAUCUUAACCAAAAACCCCAAAACUUUUAUUGGUUUAUGAAUUUUCUUACUUCCCAGUUUGUUGUUUCUCGCAGAUUAGACAUCCUCCCUGUGGAUCGGUACCCUAAGUCCUACAACGUACAUAUGUGCACUUGCAGACACUAGGGUUUUAUAAAUAUAAAACUUCUGGAGGACCGCCGGGGUUGUAAAAAAAAACAACCCUAAGCCCGCAAGCCCAUCAAGUUUUUGGCACUGUUGCCGGGGAGGCAUGAAGCCGCUGGAGGUCUAAACCUGGGAGGUUGAAGCCGCAGACGACUAUAUAAAUGUCGAGUUUAUGCCAAAGCCACAUGGGAAGUAAACCAAAUUCAUAAACACCCUAACUUUUUUAUUUUUCUGCUUAUUCUCUCUUCUGUUUGCCCUAGUUUCAGAAACCUUUGAAGCAUGGAUCAUCCAAGAAGAAACUCUAAUACUGAGCGAGGUCCUGCGACCUGUGUGAAGCUCCCUGCGCAUAUGAAUCACCAUCCAGGCGUGAUUUUGAUCAUCAUCUUUGGAACCCUAAUCUGAAACACCACCAUGGAGACUCGCAACCUCCACACCACCGAGAUGAGCCUAUUCGCCACACCUGGUGAACCGUCGACCCUCUCAUCCUCUUCCUCUUCAGAUUCUGCCCCAAAAUGCUGAAGCUGAUCGAUUUAGGCUCCAACUGAAUCGAUUAGGACAUAUGCUGAAUCAAUACCUUGAUUUUCAUGUUGUUACGGAAGCUACCCUGUACAAGAGGAUCGAUGACCUCACUCACCAUGUGAGAUCGCUGGAAGAUCUGCACUCUCAAGACAUUGCUGCCCUAAAGAGGAAGAUAGAUGCUUUCGAGGAAGAGCAGCCAAGACAGAAGUAUGAUAUCCUUCAAGGAUCCAUCGAUGCCAAAGCUGCUAAGCUAGAGAUCAAGGAGGCCAAUGAAAUCUCUUCAUGGUACAGAGGAAAGACAGAUGGUGAACUUUAAGAGAUUGAAUUUCGCCUUAGCAAGCUUGAGCACAAGAGCAUGGAAACUAGUUCUGACAUCAAGCAUCUCUCUAAGUGCCAAGGAGACACAAACCUUGUUGUGAGGAAGAUCUUUGAGAAUCAUAAGAAGGAUUCUCUUGUUCAUGGUCAGCAAAAAGAAGGAGCAUCAACCAAUUCUGAUGCAAGGGAUCUCACAAUGGACACCCAGAAUAACCCUACAGACAUCCUGGAAGAGCAAGAAGGAAAAGCAGCUGAGCAACCUCCGGAAUUUCCCACCGCGGCCGCAAGGACUUCAGCCACGGCCAGGCCCAUCCUCACCACGGCCGCGAGAGCUUCACCCGAAGCCGGACCUUUCUCCACCGCGGAUGCGACUUCUCCACCCGUGGGGAACCCCAUCUCACUCCCAGUCUGCAUCACCAAGACCCUGAGGAACCAGAAGAGCAUGACUCUUACAUCCCAUGCAUGAAGAUCACAGAAGAAGAACCAAAUGUCAUAGAUGUGAAGGAUGAAUCACCUAAGAGAUUGAAAUGCCAUACAUAGAUUCAAUCAUCAAGUUCGAUGCUGCCAAGUUCUAUUGUGAUUCUUACUCUGCACCAGACCAUCCACAGGAAAGACCAGUUCGAACUCUGCACAAAGUUCAAGACAAAGGUCAAUUUCUUAUCUCUUGUGACAUUAGAGGUGAAAGAUUCCUCAUAUUCUUUGUGAUUUUGGAGCUUGCAUUAACAUGAUGUCCAAGGCAACUGCUUUGAGACUUGGCAUUAAGCACAUCUCAAGUACCAGGACAAAGAUUAGCUUAGCAGAUGAUUCAAGUGCAACACCAAGAGGGAUAGUCUGAGACAUUCCUCUAAGGAUUGGAGAUUGCAUUGCACAUGUCGAUCUAUACAUAGUGAAGACCAAAGAUGACUCUUAUCCAGUUAUUCUUGGAUGGCCUUUCUUAGCAACUGCUGGAGCCAUCAUGGAUUGGCCCGAUAGGCGAGUUUUCUUUGCCAAUAUCUACAAGGACAUAUUCUAUGAAGCUACACCACUUAAGAGCAAGAGAGAAGAGCAUAUAGCCCAGGCAUUUGAACCAGAAGAACUCUGGAGUGAUGAAGAACCUGCAAGACAGAACAGAAGGAUUUCGAAAAGGACUUGUCUUAGGACAAGAUCCUAUUUGAACUAAGUCUUUUUCUUUGCAAAGUCUAGCUAAGGAUUAUAAACCAAAGCGCUUGAUGGGAGGCAACCCAUUUUAGGUACUUAUUUGUUUUUGUUUAGCUUUCUUUUUCUAUUAUAGUUUUGUUUCUUUUAUUUUAGACAGGCCUUAGUAUGCAAUAUAAAAAAAAAAAGAGAGAGAAGAAAAGGAGCUGACCGCGGCCAAAGGAGGUGUGUGAGCCAAAACUCGGACAACCAAGAAUUUGUUAAGGAAAACUUAAGGGAUCAGAAACUUCUAGGGUUUAUCGCAAGAACAGUAAGAUCGAAAGAAUGUUUUUAUUGCUGCGAAAGUGUUUAGUCUUUAUUGCUUAGGAUUGUGAAAAGUUACAGAAUAAAUUGUGUAAAUCUCCUAUUUAUACUAACUAAAUCUCCUAUUUAUACUAACUCCUUAAACCGCCUAGCCGAGAAUCUCGGAAGAGAUUUUAGGAAUAUUUCCUUAUCACUUCGUGCGGCCACCGCCUCAAGGUAUCGCCUAGGGUUUUCAUGGGCUUUCUCCCUUCGAGACUUCGGUUCGGCCCAUCUUGGAAGUAUUGGCUCGGCCCACUUGCGACAAAUAACGGCUCGCCCAAUCGCAACAGUUAACGGCUCGGUCCUCUCUCCUUCUCCCACGGCUCGGCCCAUCUUCACUUAUGUAUGGCUCGGCCCAUUUGACUAUCUGUCACGUAGCUCGGUCCCCUCAAUUCUCCCUCACAGCUCGGCCCAAGCUACACCCAAAGUCAUGGGAUGGCUCGUCCCAACUCUUCUUUCUUUCAUGGAUUCAGCCUACUUUCGCACUUCUUCGAUAUAGCUCGGCUCUCCCGAACACUUAGUCGCUAUGAAGAUGGUUUUGUCCACUUGGGGUGAAACCGACCCCAACAGUUAGCCCCCCAGCUCGUUAAUUUCGGAGACGAGAGUGACGAGGUUCUUCAUUCCUGGCCAUGGGAUAAACCAUCGAGUCAAGCCAUCGCGAAACAACCCCAGGUGAGGCGUUAUGGGAACAAAAGUGUUGAGCGUUUCCUGAAGAUGCCGAGGCGUUUUCAAAGGGUGCCGAGCCGACGUGACGUUUUUUUUUCAAUAACACCGAGUCGUGGUUUAUGGCAACGACGAGGCGAUUAUGCUCGAUAACGCCGAGCUGCUUUGGCAAAGGAUAGUGGCGAGCCGUUUCUGGCAAGGUUGUGCGAAGGAAAGUACCAAGCCGUCUUGUUAGUGACGAGGCGUUUUUCGAAAAGAUGCCGAGCCGUGAUUCAAGUUAACGAUGAGGCGUUUAUGCUGAUGAUGCUGAGCCGUGAUUCAAGUUAACGACGAGGCGUUUUAAAAGAAAAUUACCGAGCCGUUUCAUGUUAACGAUGAGAUGUUCUUAUGAAAUCGUCGAGCCGUAUCGACAAAGCACGGCUCGGUGCAUGCAGUUUGAGACGUUCUCAGAUAACCAUAGCUGUGUUGCGGGCUCGGUUUACCUGGACAGAGUGACUGUUAGUUCUUUCCAAGACAUCUUGAGUGUUGGCAUACAUAACGGACGCGCCGAAGAGUUAUGCUUUCGCCGCGGACUUCACGCGCCCCCUUUUUGAACACUUUUGCAUCAUCCCGAGGUCCAUGCGGAUUUCACGCGCUUCGGUUAUCCUAUAAAUAGGUGAGCUCCUUCAUUCCUCCUCAUAAUCUUCAGAUCCACUCGUUUUCACUAAAAAGGUAGCUCUCCCUUCUCUCUUCUUUCUCUCUCUAGUUUAUUUAUUUUCCGGCUAGGGUUCCGAGGUCUCCGCCGCCUCAGAUGUUUUCCCGACGAAAGUUGGCCGCGUAGCAUUGUUUUUUCCGUACCAGCUGUAAAUCAUGUCGAACCAUUCCAAUGAUUCAUUAGAUUCACUCUUCAACUACGAGCCGAGCCGUGUAGACGCCGAGGUGAUAGGUGUAACAGGAUCCUCCGAGGCGUCUAUCUCGCCAAGCCCUUCCAAUCGUGCAUCCGAAAGUGGUGAGGCGUCGAAUCUUUCAAGUCCCUCAGGCGCUCGCUCUCCAGAUGACGAGCCGUCGGUUUUGACGAGCCGCCCUCAGGGUCCCGCUCUCGACGAAGAUGUUAAUCAUGCCGCAGUGAAAGCCGAGGAGGAAGCGUUUCCCUUUGAUCUGCUCGAGGUGAAACGUGAAUUAGAACGUCUCAUGGCGUCCCGAGGCGCUUCUUCAUCUGGGUGAGGGAAACGAGUGAAAAGACAAAAACCUGACCCGCCCGUGUCUACGCUCUCUCCUCCCCUGACUCACUCGAGGCGUUGAGAUGUCGCUUCGGGAUAUCCGAGGCGGUAGAAUUCGUCCUUCCAGAGAAAAAUGACUGAGCCGACAAACCUCCUAAGAAUCACUUCACUCUGUACGAGGCGUUCUUUGAGCUUUGUUUUCUCUGGUUCCCGAUCCCCGGAGUUAUCCUUGAAUACCUCUGGAAACAUGGGAUCUCAAUCGGGCAGAUCAUGCCGAGGGGUCUGCGGCACAUGAUCGGUAUUCUGGUUCGAAGUUUUGAAUGCGGGCUCGACAUCAAACUGAAUCACCUGCUGAACUUGUUAGAGAUCAGAAAAGCUCCGAAGGGAGACAGAUUUUACAUCUCCAACAAGUCCAACCGCCGGAUCAUAGGUGGUUUUCCAAGCAAGGAUCAGUUUUGGACUGAGCGCUUCUUCUAUGUCUUGGUGAACGAGGCGUCUGUCGGCGAGGAUUACUUUCAAAAAACCAAGACCGCUUGGGGACCACUUGGUAGCCGAUCCGAAGCUUUGCCUCGGCUCGGAACCGUUAUCGUAUAAUCUUCCCUUACUGAAAAUUUUUUUGUGUUGUUUUUGCAGUUUGGAGCAUUCUUCCCCCAAUUCCCGACGACCUCUUUGUUGUCCGAGAUUCUCUUGCGGCUCGGAGAGUUAAUUGGAGGAAGCACUUUACGUUCGAGAGAGUGGAAAGAGCACGAGCCCGUCUUGCCGAAGUUCCUGUUAGCUCUUCGUCUUCAAAUUCCUCGCUAGACACAAGGGAGAAAAUGGUGAUCAUUACUCUUAGAGAUAAGAAAAUGCGCGAAGAAGAGGAAGCUGCGAGACGAGCCGCUGACUUCGGUUGUACAGAAGCAUGAUUCUGGCCAAAAACGUUCGGCUGCUGAUAAGGGGAAGGGCGUUGCUAUCCAAAAGGACGAGCCGUCCAAGAAGAAGCGCAAGCAGGCUCCCGGUGAUCCCGCUGCGCGCAAACUGGUCGUCGACAACCCUGACGCCUCGGCAAUAAUGUUCGCACGUGUUAACAAUGCGAACACGCGUCUUCCUCCUCCCGAGAAGCUGAGGAGACCGAGGUCGUAUGGCGCGAUGGCACAGCGCGGUACCAAGGUAUGUUCUGUUUGCUCUCCUUAUUUUAUCGAAUCCUCACUAAGUGUUUUAACGCGCAUUAUUCUUUGCAGUUUGUAGCGGCCAUCAACGAGCUAAUGGAUGAAUACGAGGCGGACCUGUCUAAGGUCGAGCGUCGCUUGGACAAGGCUCGGAACGAGACCGUGGCGGCGAAGGGGAAGCUGGACGAGGCGAUAACCAGGGUGUCGAGGCUGGAAGAGGAGAAGAUAGUUCUUCGUGCCGAUGUCGACAAGGUUUAUGCCUCGGUCAUUCGCCUCGAGGAGGCUAGGAGAGCCAGAAGCGCCAAGGUGGCGUUGCUCAAAGUCGUAUCGAGGCCAAAGAUGCCUUGUUUAACGCCAAGGUCAAGCGUGCGAAAAAAGGAAGCGAGGCGAGAGCUGACGGCUAAGUUUCAGGAGCGCCUCGCCAAGGUGGAGGAAGGUUUAGCCAAGCUCGAGAAGGCCAAAACCGACGAGAACGAGCUGGGGCAAAUCAAGGGCAACCUUGCGAUGAUUGCCGAUCUGAAGAAACCAGACGCCCCAACGCUCGAUGAUGAGAAGGCGAAGCUAAAGAGCUGGGAGAGCGAGUACGCCGACGACGAGGCGUAUGAGCGCAUUGCCUCCGAGAUCCGAGGUGAGGUAGUCUUCUCGCCUGUAUCGCCGGAUUCUGUAGACACCAGCCUUGGUAACGAGCCGCUCGAAGAGACAGCAGCCAACUUGGGCGUUGUAGAUCCGACCGGAUCGAAUGCGGGUAUGCCGGCCCUCUCAAACCUCCUUGCCGAGCGUGAAACGCAGUCCGCGGCUUGAUCCUCAACGCUUUCCCCUAUCUUUCGUCUCAUAUGUUUUUGUACUUAAGAUUCGGAUGACUUUAUCUGUUUCUCGAACUUCUUGUGUAACCGAUGCCUGGAUGGCUUUAUCCACCUGACUGUUGAUUUUGCUUUCGGUUAUAUUUAUCUUUUCCUUAGUCGUUUUUGGAUUUGAUGUGUUUAUCCUUGACGACCUGUGAAAUUUUUACGAAAACUAUUUGUUUGGAAAGAAUUGUCGUUGAUUGGCUUGUCGAGCUGUGUCGAGAAUGGUCUCGACUGCUUUCCUGGCCGAACCGUUUACGAUAGAUCGAUAUAAGAUCGGGCUAAGGAUUCUGUUUAAGUCUAGAUCCCGAGCUGGGAGUUGAUUCGUGGAGCGUUGAUGUGUGCUGGUGAGUGAGGGUUGUCAAGUUUUACCCUAAAUGAAAUCAAUAGCCGCAAGUGCACAGCUGAUCGAUUGUAGUACUUAGGGAUCGAAUCCACAGGGAAGGAGGAUCUUUUCCUGCAAAAGCCUUUGAAAGAAAUAUAAAGUAAGGAAGUCUAGAACCAAACGGUUUUGUGGGGGUUUUGGUGGUGUGUUUAAAAUGUAAAAACGAAAUCUUAAAAGAGAAUACGGGAAUUAAAUGUCCUAAUAACUUAACUUAACGGAAAUGAAUAAAAAUGAGAAAACGGAUAUUCUAAUUGCUUAAAUGAAAAUCUACUAAAAAGGAAAGACAAUAUUGAACUAAAGCUUGAAAUAAAAACGGUGUAAAUCAAUAGGAAAGAAGGCGUUGGGGUUCAGGGAAGUUUUCUCAGGGGUACGAACGAUUCAAAACAUUGCUAGAGAAUAAAUUUGAUAAGAUCUUAGCUUAAAAUUUUCGAACUGGAGUCAUGGACGUAUGAAUACGCCACUGUCGUGAUCAUAGACAACUAUCUCUCUCAACCCUGACCAGUAGGUUUCCACUCUGGCCGUGGAAGAGAAGAGAUGCAUUAUGUUUAAGACUCGUCAGCAUUCACAAAUCGCCCAUAGGUAGGUUUCCACUCCUAUGUUUGUUUUGCUCUCCCAAACUAGAUCUGAUACCUGAUGAACACUUUCGUGUCACCAAGCAUCUGGAUCAGAUUGUAGUUCAUGACGCUACUCUCAUGCAGUAAAAACGAAUUCAGAAGAAAAAGUUCUAAGAUUCGGCUCAAAAGCUCAUGGAAUCCUCAUCGAACAUAUAAAUCCCCAUCGAAAAUCCAUUAAUCCCAACAAUAAAACUACUCAGACAUAAUGAACGGAAUCAAAAACAUAGUAUUAAUAAGUAGAAUAGAAACCGAAAUUGAAAAAAAAAGAACAAGGGUUCAAGAGAACAAAUCUCUCUCUCCCUAAAAGCUAAAGCAAAAACAAUAAAAGUAUGAAGUAAAAAUUCGGUGGUCUAUGAUGUAUCAUCGAUUAGGGUUCCUAAAACAUGUAUUUAUAGUGCUCUGGACGUCACUUAGGGUUUCUCCAAAUGAGGGAAUCAUUGUGGGCUUCAGAAAUGGGCUUUUGGGCUCGGAGUUGGCUUGCCGCGGUCGGGAGUGCUGUGACCGCGGAGAAUGAGUGGUUUGCCGUGGUCGGGAUGCUUCUGACCACGGGAAAUGGCCUGUUGGCCGCGGGUGGAGUUGCUUGCCGGCUGGUUUACGAGACAUCUUGCUCUUCGCGUAUCUUUUGAUUGAACCGUUGGAUUGCCAAGCUGUAAAGUGUGCUGGAAAGCUGAUACUUCCAUCUUUAAGGUCUCCAAAUUUGAGCUGGAUCAGACGGUGAGAAGGCCUUCAAUUAGGGGUGAACUUCUGACGGUUUGACUCUGAGCUGAAAUCUGGUUUUCUAUCCAUUUUGUUAAGCUUUUCCCUAAGUUACCUGAAAAGAGUCUUGGAACUACAAAUACUAGAAAAACGUGAUAAAAGUACUUAAAAGCAAUUAAAAACAUAGAAAAAGUAUUUCAAAACGAUUCAUAAAAGUGGUCAAAAUACGGUGUUAUCAAGCGUCUCCAUUUUAGGUGACGCCAAGGCAUGUUUAGCAAUAAUAUCGAGGCAACUUUCAUUGGAAAUGCCGAGCCGUGUUUGACGACGAGGCGUUUUCAUUAUAUGAUGCCGAGCCGUGUAUAAAGACGAGGCGUUUUGUUCUUUAUUGACCAAAGAUGACUUCGGGACUUUCAUUGAGAUUUAUACUUUCUAUCACUGAGAGAGGUGGGCUGUUUUAGAAAUUUCUACGAAAGAGUCUCCGACUAGUGCCGAAGUAUUUUUCUAGUAAGUUAUGUGUUUUCAAGUAAGUUAUUAUUCUCUUUGAGAGGUUAAUCGUUCGUGAGGAAAAUUCGGGCGUUGCAGCUAAAGUAUUCAGCUUGAGUUUGUAUUUUCCUGCCGAGGCGUUCGCUCAGAGUUUCUCAUUGACGAGGCGAAAGUUCAAGAGGAUAUAGUGUUCUCUUUGGAAUAUGAUUAUAGACCGGCGUUCCCGAGAGGUUGUAUUUUGCCGGGUUUUAAGAGUUUACUUUGGUUUUAGAGAAAGCGAUGUAGUCUCGACUUAUAAUUUCGUGUGCGAUAGUGAACUGUGGCGACCGAUAGGAUGUAACUUGCACCCUCGUCCUAGGAAAGGUGGUGAAAGUCCGUUUAGAGAACUUUGUAUUUGUUGUCCCGUUGUGGCCAGCAACGAGACGAGGCAUUUGGAGACUUAGUUUGCCGAAGUGAAUACAAGGACAAGUAAAAGUCCGAGGCGAUCAAGUGAUAAUAUCUCGCCGAGGUGAUGAACGAAUUAAGAAUCCAAGGUGAACACGAAAUAAGUAGCUGAUUUAAAACGAAUGAGAAACUAGCCGAAGCGAAAAUGAACGAACUAGAAUUCUGAGGUGAACAUGAAAUAAGUAGAUGAUUUAAAACGAACUGAAAAUUGGCCGAAGUGGCAAUGUUCCUAGAGACGGUAGACGAGCUAGAAUUGUAGAGUUAAAUGAAGGUAUGUGUAUACGUACCCACCCCCCCCCCCUUUUUAGGAGGGAGACAGCUGAACCAGUUCGAGGACGGGCUGCCUACGUACCCUUUGCAGCUACCAAGCCGUCCCGUAGUUCAUGUUGACCGUGUUGUAGCUUUAGUGAUAAUACUUCUUAAGGUGCAUUGCAUUCCACGAUCUUGGAAUUACUUCGUCAGCUACCGUCGCGAGUUCGUAGACUCCUGGGCGAACUACUUUUGUAGACCUUCCCAAUUUGCUCCGAGCUUUCCUGCAUUCUUCUCGGCAGUGUUUUGGAAAACUUUUCGAAGGACGAGCUCUCCUUCUUUAAAUCUUCGACUGCGGACAUUUUUGUUGUAGUAUGUCGCCGUUGCUUGUUGGUAGUUCUGAAUUCGGAUUAGAGCCUGGUCGCGCCUUUCGUUGACCAAAUCGAUUUCGUCCAUCAUCAUUAAGUGAUUCAAGCCUUCUUGUCCCGGCAGAAGUCUUUGUCGAAUACCUGGGAUUACGCAUUCUGCUCCAUAAACUAGAGCGAAUGGAGUUUCACCGGUGGCUCGCGUGAGUUGUCCGAUGCGACCAAAGGACUCCUUCGAGCUCAUCUGCCCAUCGUCCUUUCUUGGCGCCGAGCCUCUUUUUCAGACCAUUUAGGAUCGUCUUGUUGGCUGCUUCGGCUUGUUCGUUCCCCUGAGGAUAUCUUGGCGUGGAUUUGCUCAAACGGAUUUUCCAUUUCUCGCAGAAAGCUUCGAAACGCGUUGAGAUGAACUAGGAUCCGUUAUCGGUGACUAUCUCGUAGGGGACCCUGUUUCUGCAGAUGAUAUUUUUCCAGACGAAGUGUUUGACUUGAGCAUCCUUUAUGCUCGCGUAAGAAUCGGCCUCGACCCACUUGGAAAAAUAAUCCGUGAGGACGAGCAGAAAACGCUUUUGCUUUGAUCGAUGUAGAGGUCCGACAAUAUCCAUUGACCAUCUCAUGAAAGGAUAAGACGACGAGAUUGAUGACAGCAGCUCGGUAGGUUGGUGAAUAGUUGGCGCAUGCCGUUGACACUUCUCGCACUUCGCCGUAAACUUCUCGUUGUCCUUGACCAUCGUAGGCCAGAAGUAACCGUGCCGUUUUAUCUUGAUCGCGAGCGACCUUCCGCUUGAAUGGUUUUCGCACGCGCCGCUAUGCACUUCGUGCAUGAUCUUUCUGGCCUCCGGUCCUUUGACGCAUGUCAUGAGUGGUCCUGAAAAUCUCCAUUUAAACACCUCGCCGUCGACGAGGACAUACCGCGCGGCCUGAGCUUUCAAUUUGCGAGCUUCCCAUUUAUCGAUUGGUACUUCUCCAUCGGCGAUAUACACUCGGAUGGCUCCGAGCCAUUCUUUGUCGCAGCCGUACUCCAGCUUGGUUGGCGAGGCGUCUUCAUCCAUAGCGACUGCUUCGUCGUUUUCUGGUUCCUGCUCAGGAGGAUUUAUCAGCCGAACUCCUUCUACCUCUUCGAUGCUAGGACGUUCGAUGAAUUCGACUGGAAUUGUCCGUCGGAGAUCCGGGUCUGAAGUCGAAGCAAGUGCUGCCAAGGCGUCGGCCGAGGUGUUUUCACCUCGGGGUAUUCGUGUGAGCUCGAACUCGUCGAACUUUUGCACCAACUCUCGGACCACCUUGAGGUAAGCUCCCAUCCGUCUGUCCUUCGCCUCGUAUUCUCUGUUGAAUCGACAUGCUACGAGCUGUGAAUCGCAAAAUGUUCUUAUCCUUCGAACUCCGAUUCCCUGCGCUAGUUGUAUGUCGGUGAUCAGUGCUUCGUAUUCUGCUUCGUUGUUUGAGGCGUAGAAGUUCAGGCGAAAAGACUGCUCCAAUAUUUCUCCGGUGGGAGAGGUGAGAUUGAUUCCUAUUCCCGAGCCGUGUUUAGACGACGAGCCGUCGACGUGCAGCGUCCAUGCUUCGUCUAGGGUUGGCUCGUUCGUCACUUCGGCUGAAAGUUCGAUGAGAAAAUCUGCGAGCACCUGUGACUUUGCAGACGACCUAUUCCGAUACUCGAUGUCGUACUCGCUCAACUCUAUGGCCCACUUGGCGAGCCGACCGGAUUGGCUCGGGCUGUGUAAGAUCGAGCGCAGCAGAAGUGUGGCGAGCACAACAAUCGAAUAUGAUUGAAAAUACGGACGCAGCUUGCGAGCCGAGACUACGACGGCUAGGGCGACUUUCUCAAUCUGGGGGUAGUGGGUCUCGGCGUCAGUCAGUAUCUGGCUAACUUAGAAAAUGGGUUUUUGCUCGGACCAUUCUUCUCUGAUAAGCACCCCACUCACGGCUGUAGCAGAUACGGCGAUGUAGAGGAAGAAAGGCUCUCCUUCAACUGGUUUUGCCAAGAUCGGCGGGCUCGCCAGAUAACUCUUCAAUUCGUGGGAAGCUGCUUCGCAUCGCUCGUCCCACUCGAAUUUCUUAUUUCCCCGAAGGGUGUCGUAGAAAGACAGGCACUUGUCGGUGGAACGGGAAAUAAACCUGUUUAGCGCUGCGACCCUUCCUGUAAGCCUUUGCACUUCUCGCUUCGUCCUUGGAGAGGGCAUCUCGAUCAAUGCUUUGAUCUGCUUGGGAUUCGCUUCAAUGCCUCGGUGAGUUACCAGAUAGCCGAGAAACUCUCCGAGGUGACCGCGAACCUACACUUCGCCGGGUUUAGCUUCAUGUUGUGUUUGUUCAACUGCUCGAAGCAUUCGCGUAGAUGCGUGAUAUGGUCUUUCUCUUCGAGUGAUUUGACUAACAUAUCAUCGAUGUAUACCUCCAUGAUUUUUCCGAGCUGAGCUGCGAACAUUUUAUUGACGAGCCGUUGAUAUGUUGCUCCUGCAUUCUUGAGCCCGAACGGCAUGACUUUGUAGCAGUAUAUCCCGCGAUCAGUUAUGAAUGCCGUUUUUUCCCGAUCAUCGGGAUGCAUCAGGAUUUGGUUGUAUCCGGAGAACGCGUCCAUAAAUGUUAACAACCUAUUUCCCGCAGUGGCUUCGACGAGCCGGUCGAUGUGCGGCAGGGGGAAACUGUCUUUUGGGCACGCCUUGUUGAGAUCAGUGAAAUCUACACAGACCCGCCACUUGCCGUUCUUCUUCUUCACAACCACUAGAUUCGCGAGCCAGUCUGGAUAUUUGGCCUCAGGGAUUAAUCCUACUUUGAUCAAUCUCUCCACUUCGUCGUUAACUGCUUUAGCUCGUUCGGGUCCGAGCUUCCUUCUUUUCUGCUUGAUUGGUUUGAAGGUAGGGUCCACGUUCAGCUCGUGACAGGCCACGUCGAUGCUUAUGCCUGACAUAUCUUCUGCUGUCCAGGCAAAAGUGUUGAUGUUCUCUUUGAGGAGAGAAAGAAGUUUUCUUCUCAGAGGUUCUUCUAGUUUUCCUCCGAUUUCGACGCAUCGUUCUGGACGCGCUUCGUCUAUGCACACCGAGUCCACUGCAUCACAUACCGGCUAGUCGCACGUUUCGCGCCUCUCCGUGAUCUGUAAUUGCUAUAAGAGUUUCGAGAGCUCGUUCGCAGGCUCUCGAUCCGUCUUCAUCUUUUUGCGAUCUAUGUCUGCUCGUGCGUCGGUGACGGGAUUCCUCAGCUUGUGCUCCGCUAAGCAGCACAUUCGCGACUCCUUCUGAUUUCCCCAGAUCGUUUUGAUGCCUGCUGGAGUCGGGAAUUCGAGGCAGAGAUGAUAGGUGGAAGGGACCGCCCUCAUCCCGUUGAUCCAUGGAGUUCCCAUAAUCACAUUGUAGAUUGCUGGAUGAUCGGUGACGCAGAAUUGGACGAUCUUAGUGACUCCGCCAGCUACCACAGGGAGCCUAAUUGUUUUCAUGGUCAUCGUUGUUUCUCCUGAAAAUCCGGUUAGGGGUUUGGGGAUUGCCGUCACCUCGGAGAGAUCGAUUCCCAUCCUUCUGAGCGUUUCCCUGAAAAUGACGUUUAUCGAGCUCCUAGUAACGAUGAGCACCCUCGCUACAUCGUGAUCCCUGAUCGUCAAUUCGAUCACCAGUGGAUCGUUGUGUGGUCUAUCGAUUCCUGUCGUUUCCUCCUCGGCAAAGGAGAUUACUGUAUUCAGGAGAUCGGUCGGUUCUGUCCAACUUUCCUUCGCUUCGGCUUGGCGCUGGUAAGCUUUGAUGGAGGACACCGUGUCUUGGUAAUAUUGAGAUCCACCCAUGAUCAUGUUGAUCCUUUGCCUCGGCUCAGGUCGCUCUUCGGGUUCGCCUCUCCUGUCGCGCUUGGAGUUAUCGCCUCGUCGGGGAGGAUUUGCGGGUUCUGCCGCGCAAGACGGAUUGGCUCCUUCUUUUGGUUCAUUAAGGACGAGGUCUUUGAGGUUAACCGCAUUCUGGAGCUCUCCCGCUGCCAUCUUAGCUGAGAGUUUUGCUCCUAGGGUUUGGCAUUGUGCCGUUGAAUGCCCGUAGGUCUGAUGAUACUCGCAGAAUGCCUUUUCGUCGUAGUUGGUGGAUUUUCUUACCCAGGUGUUGUUGUGCGGCUCUCCUCUUCCGAGUCCAGUGCCUACUUGGUAGUUGUGGGCACCUCCGCUUCUAGGUUCGUCCGAGCUCUGCGUUGUUGCAUUGUUUGAUGGAUUGCCUUUCUUCGAAGGGCGCGUCAAAAUCGAGCUUCGAAUUGCUGCUUUCGUUGCUUCGUACUGUUCGUCCAGAUUCUUCAUCUCUUCCUCGUUUACGACGAAGUCUGAUGACCGAUGCAAGGCAUCUUGUGGUGUGUUGAGUGCCAUUUCCCGUCGGAAUUCGGAUUUGUACCAUAAAGACCAUUUUAGAGCUUCGAGUGCAGCCUUGUCGCUUAUUCCUUCUAUUUUGGAUACGACCGCCUUGAACCCUGCCAUGUAAUCCCGAAGCGGUUCAUUCGGUCCUUGGGAUAGCGUCCACAUGUCGGCAUCAGAAGUUCCUCUGUCCUUAAACAUUGAGUAUUGUUUAAGGAACAAGGCGAAGAGCUCUUGGAAACAGCCGAUUGAAUUGCGCUCCUGCCUUGAAAACCACUCGAGCGCGGCCCCCUUGAGAUGUUCCACGAAGAGUAAACAAUAUCCAGCAUCUACUUCCCGCUCUGUCAGUUUGGUGGCGUUCUUCGUGAAAGCUCAUCCCAUUGCUAUCCGAAACGUUGUGAUGUGCGCUUUCGGAUCGGUCGUUCCUUCGUAAAAUGGGAUUCUCACCUUCUCCAGCUCGGGAAUCCUAGCCUCCGUGAUUCUCGCCGUGAAUGGUGUUCUUUGGGUUUCUUCAAGCAUCUGAUCGAUCUCGGGCGCAUCACUCGUCGCGUUAUGCACUUGAGACUUCAUGGCGCGUAUCUCGGCGACUGUCCGAGCCAUUGGGCUCGCAGCUUUUUAAUUUCGAGGGUUUGUGCGUGAGUCAUUCCCUUCAAUUAGGGGAGUCGCUCCCGCUCUUCUCUCCUCGGCUCGUCUUCGCGUUCCGCCUGCUCGAUCCAUUAGAGGUUUUCUUCUUCCUCAGUCGGGUUGUCGCCGCGAGCCUGGUCGGUGAUUUCGUCAGUCCGGACGCCGUUUAGUGCCGAGGUGAGCUCUUCUUGGCUUAUUCGCCGAGCCGAGCCGUUUUGUUGCGAGUUUGUGGUUCCAUCGUUCUGUUGGGCAUCCAGGUCGAUUGCGUCAUUCUCCUCUUCGCCGGCUCGUCGCCUUGAGUUCCGACGGAGUGGGGCGGCUCGGUCAUGUUGACUCGGGUUGCCGCGGGAGUCUGUUCGCCGAGAGGAUGGAACAUUGGCGGAGCCAAGGGAUUUCUUGCGCCGCUUCCCAAGGCCUCUGCAGGCGUUGAGAAAUCGAAGCGUCUGCGGAUUCCACCUAUCGGGUCAGAGAUUCCGGCUCUCCAAGUUGGGUGUCGUUGCUCGGCCGCCAUCGCGUCGAGCCUCUCUGUAAUUGCCUCAUUUCUUUUGUCCUGCUCAUCGAUCUUCUUCAUCAACGCAGCCAUCAUGUUUCGCAUCUCCUCUUGGGUUUUGGUCGUCGCCGUCGUUGUGCCUGAUACUGGAGCGUCCUUCUCCGCGCCGUUAUCGUUGUUGUUGUUGUUAUCGUCGAGGAUGUUGCUCGCCAUGUUCUUCGGAUCUUAAAGUCUCGUCGAUUUAGAGUAAGAAAGUUUCGAUUCCCCACAGACGGCGCCAAAUUGUGUGAGCCAAAACUCGCACAACCAAGAAUUUGUUAAGGAAAACUUAAGGGAUCGGAAACUUCUAGGGUUUAUCGCAAGAACAGUAAGAUCGAAAGAAGGUUAUUAUUGCUGCGAAAGUGUUUAGUCUUUAUUGCUUAGGGUUGUGAAAAGUUACAAAAUAAAUUGUGUAAAUCUCCUAUUUAUACUAACUCCUUAAACCGCCUAGCCGAGAAUCUCGGGAGAGAUUUUAGGAAUAUUUCCUUAUCACUUCGUGCGGCCACCGCCUCAAGGCAUCGCCUAGGGUUUUCAUGGGCUUUCUCCCUUCGAGACUUCGGUUCGGCCCAUCUUGGAAAGAUUGGCUCGGCCCACUUGCGACAAAUAACGGCUCGCCCAAUCGCGAGAGUUAACGGCUCGGUCCUCUCUCCUUCUCCCACGGCUCGGCCCAUCUUCACUUAUGUAUGGCUCGACCCAUUUGACUAUCUGUCACGUAGCUCGGUCCCCUCAAUUCUCCCUCACAGCUCGGCCCAAGCUACACCCAAAGUCAUGGGACGGCUCGUCCCAACUCUCCUUUCUUUCAUGGAUUCAGCCUACUUUCGCACUUCUUCGAUAUAGCUCGGCUCUCCCGAACACUUAGUCGCUAUGAAGAUGGUUUUGUCCACUUGGGGUGAAACCGACCCCAACAGGAGGUUCAGCCGCGGCCAACAGAUGUUUUACCGCGGCCAAGAAGGUCUGGCCCGCGGCCGGCACGCGUCCCACUCCGGCCGCAAUGCUCCGACCCACGGCCAGCACAGCCGACCACCUUGGCCACUUCCAUCCACCCUUAGCCACAUCUGUUCCACCUUGGCCACCUCCAUUUCAUCCUUGGCCACUUCCACCACCACCUUGACCAAAUCAGUUUUGGAUCCCUAGCAUCCAAGUUUGAUCAAGCAUCACUACCACCAGGUAAGUUUUCUUUUCCCAAUCUUUUUAAUUUUUACAUACUCUAUUUCUCAUCCUUGCCUGAUUUAUUUCACACUGGGGGCAAUCUGAUUUAAGUCUGGGGGAGGAUUUCAUCCCUUUCUAACCACCUUUUCUUGCAUGAGUCUUUGCAUUCUGCAUUUUCUUUAAAAGUUUUUCAAAUUUUUUGAUUUUUAUUAAAUCCUUUUCAAAGUCUUUUGAGUUUCAAAAAGUAUUUUUAAAUGUCAAAUACAUUUUGAGGGAAUAAUGACAAAAUCGAUGAUGAUAACCAACAUGUUUGCUUCUACACCAAUCACUCAUAAAAUCUCUUUCAAUGUUUAGUACUAGACUAUGCGGUAGCUGAGUACUUACACUACGAAAUCCCACCAGAGGACUUCUAUUCAUGAAGAUCUUUUCUGACAGGAUAUACUAGCUCACUUUACUUGAAUUUAAUCUUGACAUCUAAUUUUCUCAUCAAUGGUUUUAAAAGAAGGCAUCAUGACAUACAUCUAGGACAUCUUCAAACCUCAUGCAUUCUCUCUUAAGUUUAUAUCGACAGAUAUGUGCAAAAACGCCGGAGAGGGAGGAACAACACAGUUUUCAGUCACUCAAGAGAAAGACUGAAAGAGACCAGAAGGGAGUGUGCCAGAAAUCUUAUGAUGCCUCAGAAAAGAUCAUUCUUAAAGGUAAUUUUCGUGCUCCCUAAGACUCCAAGUCAAAAGGCAGUUUCCCCUUUUGAAAAAAAAACGAAAAAAGAGAAAAAUAAAGAAAGGAAAGGAAACUAAAAGCCUAAAAGAGUCUUAGAAGCCGAAAUUAUUUGAGCCAAGGCAAUAGAUAUUCACUUAAGGAGUUAUGGAUUCACAACCUGGACAAAAAUCCAAGUCUGGGGGAAUUAUAAAGAGAACAUGAAGAAAGGAGAUCGGAAAUCUUGAAGCAAGAAGAGUGUGACUGAAACUGUGGGGGCAUUUACAGUUCCAUCCUCUCUUGCUGUUUUGCAUAAUGUCAUGUCUCUCCAGAAAAAGGUAACCCUAAACACAUCAGCCUUACCAUUAAAAAGCCUUUUUGAUACAUAACCUUGAAUGCCUUAUUUAAUAUCCUUUUGAUGAGAACCACUGAAACCUUUAAUGAAUGUUAAGAGCUUGUUGACUGGAAGUUAGUUCUAAGUGUGUGGAUUUUCGCAUGACGGAUUAACGGAUUAGUUAUGUCUGUAUUUUGGUGAGAAUUUUCUAGACUUGACCUGAUUAAUGCAUUGUCCAUAAUUAAGGUCUAGAAGUAUGAUUGCUGAUAUUUUUGAUUUCCUUCUCAUUUUUGUUGCAUGAUAUUUUUCCAGAUUUGAUCUUGUUUUGUUUGAGGACAAACAAAGUCUUAAGUCUGGGGGAGUUGAUAACACCUGAUUUUGACCACUUUUCACCAUUGAUAUCAAAUGCUUUUUCAAAGGUUUUACUUUUUUUUAUGAACUUUUAUUAUGAUUUUCAUGUAUUUGUAGUUUCAAGGCUCUUUUCAGUAAACUUAUGGAAUAUGAUGGCAAAAUGGAAGAAAUCCACAUUUUUAGCUCAGAGUCAGACCGUCAGAAGUUCAGCCUCAAAUGAAGAAUUUCUCACCGUCUGAUCCAGCUCAAAUUUGGAGACAAUCAAGAGAAAACAACCAGCUUUCCAUAGCACUUUACAUCACAAAAAUCUAACAGUGCAAUCAAAAGAUACAUGGAGAACAAGUUGACCCAGUUCACCAGUUCCGGAAGACUCUCACCCGCGGGAAACACAUGUUUUACCUGCCCUGGAAAACUCUCACCCCCGGUAGACCUUAGGACGAGCCACAAGGCCCAACAUCAAAGCCCACUUCGCCAUUUCUCUUCAAAGAAGCCCUAAAUGAGACCUGGAAGACCUUAGGACGUAUAAAUACAUUGUUUAACAGCCCUAAACGGGUGUGUACUCCUGUAAUGAGAUUUUGAGCCACCAAACUCUGUUUUUCUAGGGUUAGGCGAUUGAGAUGGGGAUUCUUCCACAGAUCCAUUGUUCUUCCUCCUUUUUAUCUUAUUAACUUUUCUGUUUCAUUCUUUUGCAUUCUUCUAUGUCUUUUAUCAUUCAUUGCAUCAUGUAGAUUAGUCCUAGAGAGUCAAGUUGUUUGAAGAUAUCGACAAGCAUAUAUAUAUAUAUAUAUAUAUAUAUAUAUAUAUAUAUAUAUAUAUAUAUCGAUUAGUAUUUCUAUUGUUCUUAGCCAUAUUCUGGAUCUCAUCUCUUCUAAGUUGUUCGUAAAGCAUGAGAGUAGAUUCAUGACAUAUUCUCUAAGCCUAGGAUCAAUCAGAGCCACGAGAGUGCUGUAUCAGAUCAUCCAUACCUAGCUUCAGAAGAACAUAGUCGCUAUAGUAGUCGAGAGCUACCUAUAGAGAAGAUGUCAGCAGACGAAUUCAAUGUCCAAUGCAUGAUCUUAACUUUAGCAUGAGAGCGAGAGUUAAUUCCUAGAUCUAAGAGAUUAGUUGAUUAAGGUGACGACAGUUGGUUAAUCAUACAUACGUCUAUUCUAGUUCAAUGCAGAUCCCCAGAAACAGAUGAAGAUAAAUCACCCGGAAGCUAAUUGGAAAUGCCAUCAUACAUCGAUUAGAGUAACCCAGAGAAGUCUAAAUCGCCACCUAUGAGUUUAAGAGUCUUUAGUUUGAGUCGAUAUGCUUUAGAUGUUCUUUUAACAAUUCAUCUUGCAUUGCAUUUCUUGUGAAUACUAGAUUAUGUUUAGUUUAGGAUCUUAACCAAAAACCCCAAAACUUUUAUUGGUUUAUGAAUUUUCUUACUUCCCAAUUUGUUGUUUCUCGCAUAUUAGACAUCCUCCCUGUGGAUCGACACUCUAAGUCCUACAACGUACAUAUGUGCACUUGCAGACACUAGGAUUUUAUAAAUAUAAAACUUCUGGAGGACCAACGGGCUUGUAAAAACAAAAAAACCCUAGGCCCGCAAGCCCAUCUACCCUGAAUAAUGUCAUUGAUAAGAAUUCAAUAUUACACUUGAUGAAUGUAGAAAGCUAGUUGACUGGAAGUUAGGUCCAAGUGUGUAGAUUUUUGCAUGACGGAUUAACAGACUAGUUUUGCUUGUAUUUUGGUCAGAAUUUUUUAGACUAGAUCCAAAUAGAUGUUCCACGAUAAGUUAUGGUUUAGAAGGACGGUCACAGAGAAUAUUUUUUAGUUCCUGCGAUUUUUAGAAUUUGUUCCUGCCUUGAUCUGAGUAUGUUUGAUAACACCAUAUUUUGACCAUAUUUAUGGAUCAUAAUGAUGUCUUAUGCAGGUGUAUUAACUCUGUUUUCAAUGGUUUUUAAAGUGUUUUCAAUUUUUAGAGUUAAGACUUUCAAGGAACUUGAGCAAAAGAUAUGCAAUUUGGAACAAACGAACAAUUUUGGAUAAAUGCAGACCGUCAGAAGUAUGGCAAGAGAUGAAGACCUUCUCAUCGUCUGAUCACCCCCAAAAUUUGAUACAACAUAGAGAAUGCAACCAGUUUUCUCUGGUUUGGAGACAUUCCAACGGUUAGAUCGUUAGAUAAUCCCAAUGCAAUAAAGGCAGAAAAUGCAGUCUCGAAUGAGGAUAAUAACUGGGAUUGCGGCCAAAGCAUAGUUCCCUGCGGGUAGGAGAACCGCAACCACGGUCAGACAAUUAUCACUUCCUAGACAACCUAGUUAAAGCCCAAGUCGAUUUCCCUCAUUAUUUUUGAAGCACCUAAGUGUCCACGACAACUCCAGAAGCUAUAAAUACCCCCUUUACGGCAUUCUAAAGGGCAAGCAGCAUGUGUGUGCUUCAAUUUACAAAAUCCCUAGAGACUCGUUGUUUUAUAAGAAGGAGCCGCCGAGGGAGAGCAUCAUCGCCCCUCCACCUGCAACUCUGUUCUUCGUUUUUCUUCUUUGUUCUUUUUAAUCACCAGCAAACUCAAUACGUUCAUGAUGCUUUGUUAUAAUAUGUUUGAGUAGUUUCUCAGUUGGGUUAAAAGGGAUUCUUCAAAGGGAAUUUCAUGUGUCUUCUUCUAUGAAUCGCUAAAUUUAGGAUUAAUAAUCUUCUAGGUGUUCUUCGUUUACCUUUACUCUUAUUGCGCGAUUCUCUGCUAGGCACUUAGAAUUCAAUCUAGAUAUGAGAUGUUGCGAAAGUUUUCUUUGAUUGUCUGAUCUAGGGUGAAACGAGAAAUUCUACUAUAGGAGUGGAAACCUACCUAUAGAUAAGUUGUGAAUGUUGAUGAGUCUUGUUCAAACUAUUGCAUCUACUCCCUUCCAGGAUUAGAGUGGAAACCUACUAGUCAGAGUUGCGAGAAGAUAGUUGUUUAGUGCUGCAAAAGUAGGCUAUUCAUACUUCCGUGCCUCGAGUUCUAGAAUAUAAAUAGUCGAUUACCUUUAUCAUUUAUUUCUGUCAUAGGUUUAGUCCACGAAUUCCUGCGAUACCCUUGCUUUCACUUGCUUUCAUUUGGUUACUUUUUACUUGCUUUCUAGUUUAGAUUUAGUGACACCCAAAACCAAAAACCCAAAUUGUUUAGUUCUAGUCUUAUUUAAGCAUUAGCAUGAAUUCGUACUGAAACAACUAAGUCUCUGUGGAUCGAUACCCUAAGUACUACAACACACAUCUGUGCACUUGCAGACAUUUAGGGGUUAUAAAUUUAAAACUUGAAGCUUAGUAAAACCAACACCCCGUUUACAAUCGCAUCAAUGUCGAUAGUCCAAAAGAACAACUCAAUUCCUGGUACCUAUACGACAAAGGCCAGAUCAGGAUGCUCAUUGGUACAUCCGGUAAACAAGAUGUCUAGUUGGGAGCUGACCUUCUUCUAUGCCAACGUCAACGAAGCGCUAUUCGUAGACACUACUAGGGUCUAUAGGAAUGAGUGGAGCCCGAACAUUGGUAGAUUAUAUGGCUUAUUGAUGUGUCUACUGAGUGAGGGAACAAGUUUAACCCUUAAUAAAAACAAAUUAAAGCCGCAUGUGCACAGCUAAUCAAUCGUAGUACUUAGGGAUCGAAUCCACGGAGAUUUGUGCGCCUGGUAUUCUUCUACGGUUUCUAACUUUAUGUCUAGACUAGAUUGGUUUUAGGGGUUGUUUGUUUGUCACGGAUUAAAGUAAAACUAAAGAAAGCAAAUAAAUCUAUCAUAAAGAGCAAAUAGAAAAUCGAAUGACAGGUAAAUGAAACAAGCAUAAUAUCGAACUAAAGCAAAUGAAAUGCAGAUCUAAAUGAGCAAGUAAAAAUAAAUUGGUUUGUAAACUGUGGCUAAAAACACUGAGCUUUUGGGAACUCUACAGGGAUCAUAAUCGGUUUCAACACUAGGGACUAUAGAUUGGGAUUGAUGGAUAUCGAAAUAUAGGGUUCCAGAGCAAGAGUACGGCGGUAUGACUAUGUCACUGUCGUGAUCAUAACCAACUGUUUCUCGCAACCCUGACCAGUAGGUUUCCACUCUGGCCCUGGAAGGGAGAGAACGCAAGAGCUGCACAUGGCUCGUCAGUACUCACGAUUUCGCCGCAAGUAGGUUUCCACUCCUAUGGAAAAAUUGCCUGUUUCAUUCUAGGUCGGAUACUUAAUGAAAACUUUCGCAACCCUAACUAUCUAGAUCAGAUACGAAGUGAUCAAUCAAGCACACAUGCAAUAAGAACGAGAAUUAACAGAGAACAAAGUUAAAAUCCCAGAUCUAUAAACCUAGAUUUCUUAAUCGAUUAUGAGAGCCCCUUUCGGGAACCCUAAGCCCAACUCGGGAUCUACUCAGACAUGGCUGAGGUCGACAUCAUCAUUGGUUUUAAUAAAAGCAAUUAAAAACAGUAAAGAAAAGAGAUGAAAGAAAGCUUCUCUAUUGAAGAACUCAGACUUGAACAAUCUUCUCUAAAUAUUGCAUAAAACGGCUAAAAAAAAGGGGUUUUUGUAAAAGUAUGAAGGUGAUGUCUAAAAACGACAUAAAUGACAAGUAUUUAUAGUCUUCAAUACUCCAUGGUCUCUAGGGUUCCAGAAUUAAGGCAGAGAAAUGACUUUGGGCUUUAGAAAUAUGGGCUUUUAAUCGGAGUUGGCCGGCCGCGGUCGGAAGUAACGUGGCCGCAGGAAACAGAGGGUUGGCCGCGGUCGGGCAGCUCGUGACCGCGGUGGAUGGUUGGUGGCCGUGGUCGCGUGACUUGCUGGCCGUCUUCGAGUGUCUCUGGGGCAAAUGGAAUAUCUUAAGAUCCAACCGUUGUAAUAUCUCCAAACAAAGUGCAUUUGAAAGCUGGUUGAUUCUUCUAUAAGUUAUCCAAUUUUGAGGGUGAUCAGACGGUGAGAAGAUCUUCGGCUCUCCAUGAGAGUUCUGACGGUCUGCAUUUAUCCAAAAGAGUCUUUUUGUUCUAAUUUGUGCCUCUUUAUCCUAAAUUACCUGAAAAGUCUUUUAAAAUCCGAAAACAUAGAAAUCCUUUGAAAAUCUUUGAAAAUUGAGUAAAAACACCUGUAAAAAACAUUUAAGUGAUCCAUAAAAAUGGUCAAAAUCCGUUAUCAAUUCCCCCAGACUUAGUCUUUUGUUUGUUCUCAAACAAAACAAAGGCCAAAUCUCGGUGAGAGGUUUGAAAACGUAGGAACUAAACAAAAUCGCAGAGACCAAGCUUUUACACCAAUAUCAAUCAUUAUGCAUCAAUCGGGAAUAGCCUAGAAAAUUCUCACAAGAAAUACGGGCAUAACUAGUCUGUUAAUCCGUCAUGCGGAAUUCUAUUGUACUAAGAUCUAAAUUCCAGUCAACUUGCUCUUAACAUUCAUUAAGAAUUUUGGUGGUUCUCAACAAAGAAAGUAUAAGCUAGGAAAUCUAGGCUAGGUGUCAAAAGGGUUAUUCUAGGGGUAAGGCUUAAAAGUGUUUAUGGGUUACCUAAAGAUCUGGAGGAUGCAAAAUAUUAUGUAAAACCGCAAGAGAGAGUGAAGUUGUUGAUAUCCACAAUUUUCAGUCACUUUCUUCUUGCCAUAGAUUUCUGGUCUUCUUCCUCAGGUUCUCUCAUAACUCCCCCAGACUUAGAUUUUUGUAAAUCUUCCAAAACCAUAGCUCUUUAAACGAAUAGUGGUUGCUUUUUGCUCCAAAAAUUUCGACAAUCUAAGACUCAUUAGGCUGUUUGUUUCCCUUUCUUUCAUUUUUUUUUUUUAAGAUAAUAGGGAACACCUUUAGAUAUAGAGUCAUAGAGAGCACGAAAUUACCACUAAAAAUGAGUAUUGUAAAGCUUAAUAAGGGUUCUGAUACUCUUCCUUCCCAAUUCCAUUCAGUCUUCCUCGUGAGUGACUGAAAAUUGCGUCGCUCCUCUUCUCUCUGAUGUUUUUGCACAUAUCUGCUGAUAUAAACUAAAGAGAGAAUGCAUGAGGAUUGAAAACAAGGGUUUUGGGUUGAGGGUAUGGUACCAGAUAAAGAUGAACUAGCCAUCUAGGACGACAAAGAGUGGUAAAAAUGAGGGUAAAAGACGUCCUAGAUGUAUAUCUCGAUGCCUGCUUAAAAUCAAUGAUGAGAAAAUUAGAUAUCAAUAUUAAGGUCAAAUAAAAUGAGCUAGUAUAUCCUGUCAGAAAGAAUCUCCAUGAAUAGAAGUCCUGUGGUGGGAGUUCGUAGUGCAAGUACUCUAGCUACUGCCUAGUCUAGUGCUAAUCACAAAUGAGCUAUCAUGCAUAGUGUAGAAGCGUGCAGGUCUAAAUCAUCACAAUUUUGUGUCAAACAUUCCUGAAAAAUACUUAGGUCGAAUAAGUUACAUAGUAAAAUUUAAAAAGUACUUGAAAUUUUGAAAGCAAAGCAAGAAAAAUGAUUAGUACAGAUAGACAUCCUCCCCCAAACUUAAAUCAUACUGUCCCCAGUGUGAAAAAGUUGGUGAGAAGAUGGCGAAUAAAAGCGAAAAUAAAAUAAGAUAAAAGAAAAAAAAAUGAUGAUAGAACCGUGAUGGCUGUCAAAUGACAAUGAAGUGCUGAUCAAUCACUCAUCCUCCGAUGUGUCUGCUUCGAAAUGGUGCUGCUCCUGUAGGAAGGUGACAACGCGCUCAAAGUGUCGUCCUUGUCUCUUAAAUCUGCGCUCCAGAUCAGAAUGUGUGUGUGACGAUGUCGAUGAUGAAGUGUGGCCGGUCGAAACAGAUGACUGAAAAUGAACAUGUGCUGCAGCUACAUCUCGCUUUGCCUUGGCCACUAUGUAUUGCCUGAUGGUGAAUGGUAGACGAGGCACGGGGUAAUAACUCAGCAGGUUCUGGAGUCCAUCGCGGACGUCCUCCGUUACACAGUCUUGGGACUGAUGCUGCAGGUAAACAGACUCGGUGCUCUUCGGUGCCAGUGCAAUACUUGUAACCGAACCUGUUUGGAUCGAAAGUGGCACGAGAGAUAGUGUGAUCACGAGAGAGAUAGAGUAGGCCAUACCAGACGUCGGGAAGUAGAUCAUCAGAUGAAAAGUUGAAUCCUACAGCCUGUAGUAUCGCUGUAAUAGCGUCUUCGCAACCAUGUAAAUCAUGUUUCACCUUCACCAUGUUAUGUGCUAUGAUCCAGGAAAAGCAGGCAAGUCGUGGGUUGUCCAUAAAUGGCAUCUGAAAUGUAAUAAGCUCGGUCUUCAAAACACAUCCCAUGUUGGCUCUAGAGAAAAUCGUGUGUGCUAAGAGUUUGUGCACAACUCUCACUGCAGGAUGAGUAAAAAGAGCUGACUUGGAUCUCCCGCUAUCAUAGACGCCAUGACCCAUCUCUCUCCAUAAGCCAAAAUCAGGUUCUUCUUCGAGCUGAAUGCCAUCAGUGUAUGGAAGCUUAAGAGCUUCACAAAGUGCAGAAAUGGUGAGUAAGUAGGUCUGUCCGCGGAUAGAGAACGACAAAAUGCCGUCAGAUGCCCUGGGGUUCCUCCUCUUCGUGUGGUGGAGGGUGACAGUUGCUAAGAAACCGCGGACUAGCUCGAGAUAAGUUGGAAGGUUCAGCUCCAUAUAGGGUCUCAGUCUAAGUGCAUCGAUGUACCAGAUUACAUCUUCCCUAAUUCCAAGCAUCUCGAGUAUAUGAUAAUCGAUGCAGUGCGUUGUUUGAUGUUCAGUUUCUUGAAUCGCCUUGCGUAGUCCACUCUCGGGUUGAUCUCUUUCCCAAUGUAUCGAAUCUGUGGUGGCUCAGGAAUCUCUCGUGUUUCUCUUGAGUGUUGGAGCAGCCUCAUCACAUAAUUUCUUUUUCUCGAUCUGACUUGGUUCAGCAUGUACUCUCCAAAAGUACUAUCAUCUAGAGUUUCCUCAGAGCUGUCACCAGUGCGACGGCUUCUUCGGGACUUGGUUUGUUCCAUUUUUCCUACAAGACAAGAUGAUUCUUGGAAAAAAGAGUGAAUAUGGAUGCUGAGUUUAACAUAUUAAUGAUCAGUGAUACUAAUCAUAGUAUCAAGAGAUUAGUUAAAACAACAAGCAAGCAUAAUUGAUAUUAAAUCGAAGAAAUCAAGUAGUUCAUGACCAGAUUCGGAUUUUUUGAUGUUCUCAACAUAGAAAUCUUCUAAAAAUUGGUUUAAUUGAGCAAAUUCCAAGUCAAAUCUAUAGGUUACCUAACACUAGUCACUAAUCACACAAGACUUAAUCAAAUUCAUCAAUUUUGCUGUUCCAAAUUCGAUUUUUAUAAAGCAUGUAGAAUCCAAAUUUCAAAAUUCUCAAUUCCUCUUAAGCUAAGUGUGAAAAUCGAUUUUCAGAUAGCCUAGAAGGAUAAUCUAUUGUUCUUAAGCUAUUUCCACCACUAAUAAACCAAGAUUUGGGCUUUUUAAGAAAACCCUAAAUUCCAAAAUCAAUUAAAAAUGGCGAGUUUGAGCUUCAUACCUUGCUUGAAAGAGAGAUUUGAUGAUAGAUUCGAAAUCAGCUUUAAAAAAGAGUGAGGUUUGGGCUAAGAAGUUCUUAAAAAGCUUAAGAAUUGAAAAAUAUGUUCUAUCUCCUAAAUCUCCAAGUCUUUUGGAAGAGAAAAGAAAAAGGAGUUUUGAUCCAAAAAGUGUGUUUCCUUACUUUAAAAAGUGUUUUUGUAGCAAAAACGGGAAAUUUCCGGGAAUUUAAAAGUUUACGGGAACUUACCUUUCUUGUCUUGUACGCAAGAGGGGAUUUAAAACUUACGGAAAAUCUUAGUGGGCUUUUCCGGGAAUGUUCCGAGAAUCAUUGGAAAUCACCGGGAACAUUUGAAAAGCAACAGAAAUCGGAGGUUCCUUCUCAACAACCAACGGCCGCGGUCAGGAGACGCGCGACCGCGGUGAAGAUAGCAUUGGCCGCGGUCACAUUCACGGUGCCACGGUCGAAGAUGCGUUGGCCGCGGGUUGGUUGGUCGUGACCGCGGCCUAUUUUUCUGCGGCCUUCGUCCAACUUUCAGGUUUCUGCCGGGCCGAGCAGCUAAAAACCUCUCUUUCUUUUUCGGUUUUUCAAAUUUUCUGAUUUUAUUGUGUUUUUGUUUUAUAAGAGUACCUCAAAUUAAAAGAAAAAAAAAACAUAAAUUGUAAAAAGGAAAAAAGAAAACUAAAAGAAAGAGUACCUAAAUGGGUUGCCUCUCAUUAAGCGCUUUUGUUUUAAGUCGUUUAGCUCGACUUAGGCAUGAAAGAUCAGGCUGAUUUAAAUGGCACUCCACUUGAUAUGCCUUUAUCAUUUCCGGUCGCUGGAGGUUUAACUUCUUCUCUUUGAGGCGCCAUCUUCUUUCCUUUACUCUUCUUUCGGACUUUAACGUUGUUUAAAACCCUUUUUGUUUUCUCGAUCAGCUCUUGGAUUUGGUCCUCACUAGUCUCUGUUGCAUCUGGUGGAAUGAUGAUCUUGAUCUUUGCAAAGGCUCCUGGCUUCUCUUUUUCCUUCUCUUUUGGCUGAUUUCCUUUACUUGGAAAAUCGUCUAGGAGAGUCGGAUAAAACUUUUCUGCGAUCCACAUUGAGGAACACAGCAUGCCGGUUUGCGUGAUCGAUUACUGCUCCUACAGUGGCCAGGAAUAGUCUCCUGAAUAUGAGUGGUCUCUCCUUGUCUUGAUCCAUUUCCAGAACUUGGAAAUCUGCUGGAACAAUCUUGUCCCCUACUAGAACUUGCAGAUCAUGAAUCGCCCCUUCAGUAUCUUUUUGAGAUGAAUCUCCAAAGAUAACCUUGACCAUCGAUGUCCUUAAGAUUCUUAGGCCCAAUUUUUCGCAAAUGUCUUUGACAUGAUGUUGACAUUGGCUCCGGAAUCACAUAGAUAGUCUGUGAAGUUGAUUCCUGAAAUGAAACAUUGGAAAACAAAACGUAUUGGGUCGUCGGCUUUUGUAAGCCUUUGAAAAGGGGAACAUUGAGGUACCUUGAAUGGUGGCUGCUUGGCAUCAACAUCCUUGUAAAGUGGUACAAAUAUUGGGGUUUCUUCCUCCUUUCCAUCAGUUUUGGCUUCUUCUUCGGGCAGCGUGGUUAUGGCAUUGCAAAAUCUCUGGGGGUUAUCUUCAACUCUUCCGAGAAGAGCUCCAUUUUGUCUCUUCAUAGAGUCGGCUGUUUGGGCAACUUGGACGUCUAGCUUUUUGACGUGCGAAGAUAAAGUUUCAAACUUCCCGUUCAGGUCAUUGUACAUGCAGUCAACUUUCACAUUCAUGUCUUUAGCUGUUUUCUCGUUUGUCAUAACAAGCUGUUGAUUGGACUAUUCAAGUCUUCCGAUUUUCGAAGCUAGCUGGUUCGUUGUGACUCCAUGCUGUUGUACAAAUUGAUUGUUAAAACCCGUACCUUGAUAGUUAUAUGGCUGUCGCGGCUGAUAAGCUCAUGUCCCUCCAAAAUUUCCACCUUGGAACUUGUUUUGGAAGGAUCUCUGCUGCGGUGGGUAGUGCUGAUCUUGAGGGUUCUCCACAUUUGGAUUGUGGUAAGAGAGAUUGUCGUAGUUUGCAUUCCGGAAGUUGUUGUUGAAGCCAUUGUUGAAACGAUUUAGAUAUGGUGCUUGUGCUCCUACAUAGUUCAGUUCUUCUUCUUGAAAGGCUGGAUUAAUUUGAUCGAUAUAACAAGGUCCUUCGUCUUCUGCGCCACUGUUGGUCUCACAAGCAUGGAUAGGGUGAUUGUUGCUUUUCAAAAGCUGGCUCAUCAUGUUCCUCAACUCGGUUAUCUCCUUGUUGUCUGUUCCGGUUUGCUUUGUUCAUGGUUGUUACCAUUCUGCUGCAUUUCCUGGUUGUUACCAUCGACUGCAUUGAUAGGUGCAUCAAGGUCUUCGCGUUCUUCUCUCUCUCGGUUUUGAGGAUUUCUUGGAGGAAUCUCAUUCUCUUCUCCAUCUUUUCGAGCAUGAUCACCUUCUCUGUGAUCGUUUUCUUCAUUUUCACCAUGUUCGGACCCGUCUUGGUCCAUAUUUAGAGUUCGGUUAACAGGAUCUCUAGGCUGGUCGUCGUCGGCCAUUCCUUGCGUUCGUCUAAGUCUUCGAAGUUCUCUUUUGUAUCUGUCUAUCUCGUCUAGAAUCGGAAUGUUUUUUACAGGUCUGCGCCUGGUAUUCAUGCAAUUCAGAGAAAAAAAAAGAAGGAAAGGAUAAUUCAGAAAAAUUUAAGAAAGGACUAGAGAUCAGAUGUCUAGAACAGAAAUUAGAACAAGAAACAUAACAAAGGCAGCGAAACAAAUCCCCGGAAACAGCGCCAAAAACUUGAUGUGUCUACUGCGUGAGGGAACAAGUUUUACCCUUAAUAAAAACAAAUGAACGCCGCAAGUGCACAGCUAAUCAAUUGUAGUACUUAGGGAUCGAAUCCACAGAGAUUUGUGUGCCUGGUAUUCUUCUACGGUUUCUAACUUUAUGUCUAGACUAUAUUGGUUUUAGGGGUUGGUUGUUUGUCACAGAUUAAACUAAAACUAAAGAAAGCAAAUAAAUCUAUCCUAAAGAGCAAAUAGAAAAUCGAAUGACAGACAAAUGAAACAAGCAGAAUAUCGAACUAAAGCAAAUGAAAUGCUGAUCUAAAUGAGCAAGUAAAAAUCGAUUGGUUAGUAAAAACUUUGGCUAAAAACGCUGAGCUUUUGGGAACUCUACAUGGAUCAUAAUCGGUUUUAACAAUAGGGAUUAUAGAUUGGGAUUGACGGAUAUUAAAAUAUAGGGUUCCAGAGCUAGAGUACAGCGGUAUGACUACGUCACUGUCGUGAUCAUAACCAAGUGUUUCUCGCAAACCUGACGAGUAGGUUUCCACUCUGGCUCUGGAAGGGAGAGAACGCAAGAGCUGCACAGGAGUCGUCAGUACUCACGAUUUCGCCGCAGGUAGGUUUCCACGGAAAAAUUGCUUGUUUCAUUCUAGGUCGGAUACUUAAUGAAAACUUUCGCAACACUAACUAUCUAGAUCAGAUACGAGGUGAUCAAUCAAGCAUACAUGCAAUAAGAACAAGAAUAAACAGAGAACAAAGUUAAAAUCUCAGAUCUAUAAACCUAGAUGUCUUAAUCGAUUAUGAGAGUCCCUUUCGAGAACCCUAAGCCCAACUUGGGAUCUACUCAGACAUGGCUGAGGUCGACAUCAUCAUUGGUUUUAAUAAAAGCAAUCAAAAACAGUAAAGAAAAGAGAUGAAAGAAAGCUUCUCUAUUGAAGAACUCAGAGUUGAACAAUCUUCUCUAAAAAUUGCAUAAAACGACUAAAGGAAAAAGAGUUUUUGUAAAAGUAUGAAGGUGAUGUCUAAAAACGACCUAAAUGACAAGUAUUUAUACUCUUCAAUACUCCAUGGUCUCUAGGGUUCCAGAAUUGAGGCAGAGAAAUGACUUUGGGCUUCAGAAAUAUGGGCUUUUAAUCAGAGUUGGCCAGCCGCGGUCGGGAGUAACGUGGCCGCAGGAAACAGAGGCUUGACCGCGGUCGGGCAGCUCAUGACCGCUGUGGAUGGGUUGGUGGCCGCGGUCGCGUGACUUGCUGGCCGUCUUCGAGUGUCUCUGGGGCAAAUGGAAUAUCUUGAGAUCCAACCGUUGGAAUGUCUCCAAACCAAGUGCAUUUGAAAGCUGGUUGAUUCUUCUAUAGUUGUCCAAUUUUGAGGGUGAUCAGACGGUAAGAAGGCCUUCGUCUCUCUAUGAGAGUUCUGACAGUCUGCAUUUAUCCAAAAGAGUCUUUUUGUUCCAAUUUGUCCCUCUUUAUCCCAAUUUAGCUGAAAAGUCUUUUAAAAUCCGAAAACAUAGAAAUCCUUUGAAAACCUUUGAAAAUGGAGUAAAAACACUUGUAAAAGACAUUAAAGUGAUCCAUAAAAAUGGUCAAAAUCCGGUGUUAUCACUUAUCGAGCUCAUAUUCGUUUUUUAUACCUCAUCUCUGAUUUUUCUGAAUCGCUUUUGCAGUUCGAAACAUCAACUUUGACUCUUACCCAGAUAAUUACUUCAACGAUUUGGUCAAGCUCCAAGGUUUUGGGAUACAAAAUUGGCAUGAGGUACAUCGCCAGAGGGUUCAAGCAGCUAUCACUCACAUUACAAAUGGUUAGUCAAUUAUUCUUGAUCUUCUUUUGCGAAAUUCUUUCUCUGUCGAUCUAAUGGUUCCUUUAUUUCAGCAAGUUGGGGCAGAGUUGAUCAUCUGGUAAGAAGGAGAUCGCCAUAGCGAAUAUAGAUGGCUUUUAUUCAAGUGAACGCUCCGAGUUUGGCUUCUAAACUCAAAGCUCGCUGGGAUGCAGCCAGGCAAUCUGGUUUUUCUCGUUCUGAGGAGCAGAUUGCUCAUACAAACACUCAUCAGGAUGGUGACAAGGUUGCACCUCAGCUUGACGACGAGCGAACUGAGGAGGGUGUCGAGCGUGCUGGGGACCAGAAUCGGGUCGAUGGGGGCGACGUUAGAGAUCAAGGGGAUCUCUGCAAUUGCCGAUCGAAUGGCUGCUGUGGAGGAGUGGCAAACUGAAAAGAAGAGGGUGUUGACCGAUCAGAUUGAGUUGUUGAGAGUAGAAAACUAGGAUUUGAUCAACAAUUCCCAGAUCGCCAACGAGAAGAAGAUUCAGCUCGAGAAACCGAUGGCUUCGGAGGUCCUCCGAGCGCAGAGGAACG
rnacentral:lncRNA from 1 species